GGAAAUUUGCCGGUCUUCAUCUGUUAGUCUGUCACUCAGGAUCCAUGAGGGGGUGGAUACACACACACACACACUAGCAAAACGAUGCAUGUGAGUGAGUGUCUAAGAGGAUGGGGGAAUGCUUGAGUAUAAAUAUACCACCGUGAGCACUGCUAGCAUCACAUAUCAGAAGGAGUGCAGAUACUGACUGGAGGUAGGAGACUGAUUUCUUUGUAUUGUUGAUACAAGCUAUCACAGGGCUGUAUAAUGAAUGUGUGCACACUGACGUCUGCUACAAACGGUUUGCCUUCAGUGUGUUCGCAAAAGUAAGGACCUGUUAUUUGCAUCUUUAUUUCAGUUUAAGUAUUGCUAUUUCAUUUUGCUGUCUUUUUAAAAAAAAAAAAACACUAAUUAUACAAACAGGGAACUAAUUAGAAAUACAAUGUGGAACUAGGAUUCUUUGUUUUUUAUUUGAAUCUUCCGUAAAGCCACUAAAGUGUUUGUGUUGUGUUUUGUUUGUAAAAGCAUAGUGUGUUUGCAUGCAUAGACAAGAAUAGAUAGAUUGCAUUCAUGUUGCACAAUUAGUUUUUAUGUAGACUGGGCAAUAUUUAUAGUUUAAAAUGAAAUGCGUUUUUCAUUUACAUAGCUUUCUAUCUAUCAAUAUAUUUGUAUCUCUUUACAAUUUUGAUUCAUUUGCAGAUUUUAUACCAUUGAUAUGUUUUUUUUUGUUUUAAAUGUCUUUUUGAGUAUAAUUAUUAAAAUAUCGUGAUUCUGAAAUGCAACACCUCUUUCAGAAUCGGUGACAUUUUGGGAAGAUGUAAAAAGUUUGAGAAAGGCAUUCUGGAAAUAACUGCAUGUUCAAAAUUGACAUUUUCCUUAAAGAUGCUUACACUAAAGAUGCUUACAUUAUACAUAUUCCGUAGCAAGGUAACAGGAUUAUUGUUAAAUUGUAUGAUUUUGGAAAGUUUAUAAGCUGGUCCAGUUUUCUUCUUGAUUUAAAAAAAUCUCUCUAUAUAUAUAUAUUUACACAAACACACACACACAAACACACACACACAAACACACACACACACACGUAUUUGUGUGUGCGUGUAUAUGUCAAUAUAAACACACUGUAAAUAUCUUUAACAAACCUAAUUGUUGAUUGUGAAAAAUAUCUUUUUACAGAUUAUAUUAAAAUAACUCUGGAAGUUAAUGUAAACAGUGAAGUUCUGAAUGAACCUGUUUGUGUGUCGGUUUUAUUAAAUAAAAUUAUAUGUGGGGAAAACAGAAUUUUGCAUUAUGCCAGAACUAUGCAUAAAGUAAUUCACUACACAGGGAAUUGCAAUCUUGCCUCCUAAAUAAUGAUAUGAAACAUAUCCCUGUCCAACGAGCUUGCCCUCUUUUAGCAGCAUACCGAGGCAUACCUUUAUUUAGUGAAACCUUGAAGAAUUCAGCAUUCGUAGCGAAGAGGAUUGUCGUUGUACCUUUCUGUCCUUGUGAGCCAUCGGAUUUGGGAGUUACAAUGCCAGGAUUUCUGGAUAGGGGAAGAAUAAAAAGUAAAUCGCCUGGAAGGGACAUCGCUGGUUUUGAAACAAAGAGCUAAACCCAUGAGGAGAUAUAUAAUAGGAAAGCUACGGGUGAAGAGAUCGCAGUUAACAUCCAGCUGUUUACAUUCUGUGCUCCCUCUCAAAUCCAAAGAUUUCACUUCUGUGUUUAGACAGAUAACACCUCUAUGCCUCUCAUCUAAUCAUAGCUCGUUACUGUUCUUAGCAGAUUAACAAAUGCACAAAACCAAAGCUGACCCUUGGGACCCGCAUUAAAAAAGUGGCUGAAAAGAAAGACCUGACACGUGGCUUAGAGAAAGACAUCUCAAUGCGAUGUAAAUUAUUCUCUAGACCUGAGAAUCUCCGCGUCUGAUCAAAUUGCUAGAGUCUCUCUGGCUAUCAAGUUGAGGGGACAAUGGCAGGAUAGGAUGUACAGACGCCAAGUGGGAAACGGGACUGAGAUUUAAAUGGACUGCUAUAUAGAGAGUAUCAUACACAUGGUGGCCAUCGUAAUCCGGGAGUCAGUUUAACGUGCUACUAACAAUAAUUAUAAUAAAAUAAAAACAAUAGUCAUACAACAGUGUUUAAGCAGGAAGGGUACAUCUCUUAUUCCCUGGGCUCUCCCCAACAUAAGAGCACUCAUUAUUAAUGAGCUCUGAAAAAUUUAGAUUAAUUUGAACCCGCCGGCAAUAAAACCUUCAACCCUGAGAUUCCACAGGUGGAGUAGCUAUCCAUUGAACUGCCAAAUUAAUUUAUCAAACUGUGGAUUAUCUGUGUAAUAAUAAUACUAAUAACGAUAAUAAUAAAUUCCUUAUUGUUUAAAAUAGAGGUUGAUGUGAUUUAAAAAAGUCACUUUAAAAAAGUUUACCCAAGCCCGGAGUGUUAGCAAACCCUUUAAUACCUGAUUGUGGGCAACGUAGACAUUACUAACCAUAUCCUGAGUCUCUGAUUGUCCAAAAUACAAACAGCUAACUUCAUCUUAUUACAGCCUAUCUUCCUAUCUAUAGCUGUCCAAGGUUCAGUUGCUGCUGGUAAGAACAUCUCAUAAAAAGAAGCCAUUGCGUUGGGCAACUAACCUGGACCUCAGGACAUAUUUUGAAACUGUUGACAAGUUAAAUUUAAAUGUCCUUAUUAAAUACUUUGAUAUAAUUACUUUUAUUAUGUAACAAGAGAUUGAAUUAGUGAUUGUGCACCUGCUAUUCUGGCUCCCCCUACUGGGUAAGCAAGUGAAGUUACAGGAUUUAUCCCUUGUGUAACUAUUUCCUCAUUUCCAUUAAGCUGGAAGAGCCUCCAGGCUGAGCUCUCUGCACCUUUAGUUCCAUAGUGUGUUAAAUCUCUUAACGUCACCACCUACGUACAUACUACGUGCGUGCAACUUCUUGGAGACUAAAGCUCUAUGGAGAAUCUAGGAUUAAACACACUGAGCAAUGUUAACUUGGACCAGUGCAAAAUCAGGCAUACAGAGGAAAAAAAUAUGAGGAUACAGCCGGAAAUAUAGAAUGGGUGUGUGGGGGGGUUUGUUUAAAAAGUAUUAACAGUACGGUUUAUUAACUCAGAAUGUACAUUUCUUUUUGGUAUAAAAAGCUGAGAUUUAAAACUCUGUGGUGUGGUCAUAGGCCAUUAAUAAUGGCAGGUGUUGGUAAAAUUGUCCUUAGAUUUUUUUCAUAUGACUUUGUGUGUCUGUGUGAUUUUGUAGCUUCAUGAUUUAUUUAGAUAUACUGUUGAUUCUGUGGCUGAUCUUUCUUCGUAUACUGCUGCUUAUAUAGUGAUAUUGUCCCUGUGGAUAUUUCACUGAUUGUGUAGUGUCCCUGUCUGUGAGGAUAUCUCACUGAUUGUGCAGUGUCACUGUCUGUGUCGAUAUCUCACUGAUUGUGUAGUAGUGUCACUGUCUGUGUGGAUAUCCCACUGAUUGUGUAGUGUCACUGUCUGUGAGGAUAUCUCACUGAUUGUGCAGUGUCACUGCCUGUGAGGAUAUGUCACUGAUUGUGUAUUGUCACUGUCUGUGAGGAUAUGUCACUGAUUGUGUAGUGUCACUGCGGGUGAGGCUAUCCCACUUAUUGUGCAGUGUCACUGUCUGUGUGGAUAUCUCAAUGAUUGUGUAGUGUCACUGCCUGUGAGGAUAUCUCACUGAUUGUGUAGUGUCACUGUCUGUGUCGAUAUCCCACUGAUUGUGCAGUGUCACUGUCUGUGAGGAUAUCUCACUGAUUGUGCAGUGUCACUGCCUGUGAGGAUAUCCCACUGAUUGUGUAGUGUCACUGUCUGUGUGAAUAUCUCACUGAUUGUGUAGUGUCACUGUCUGUGUGGAUAUCCCACUGAUUGUGUAGUAGUGUCACUGCCUGUGAAGAUAUCUCACUGAUUGUGUAGUAGUGUCACUGUCUGUGUGGAUAUCUCACUGAUUGUGUAGUAGUGUCACUGUCUGUGAGGAUAUCUCACUGAUUGUGUAGUAGUGUCACUGUCUGUGAGGAUAUCUCACUGAUUGUGUAGUAGUGUCACUGCCUGUGAGGAUAUCUCACUGAUUGUGUAGUAGUGUCACUGCCUGUGUGGAUAUCUCACUGAUUGUGUAGUAGUGUCACUGUCUGUGAGGAUAUCCCACUGAUUGUGUGUAGUGUCACUGCCUGUGAGGAUAUCUCACUGAUUGUGUAGUGUCACUGCCUGUGAGGAUAUCCCACUGAUUGUGUAGUAGUGUCACUGCCUGUGAGGAUAUCUCACUGAUUGUGUAGUAGUGUCACUGUCUGUGAGGAUAUCUCACUCACUGAUUGUGUAGUGUCACUGUCUGUGAGGAUAUCUCACUGAUUGUGUAGUAGUGUCACUGUCUGUGAGGAUAUCUCACUGAUUGUGUAGUCACUGCCUGUGAGGAUGUCACUGAUUGUGUAUUGUCACUGUCUGUGAGGAUAUGUCACUGAUUGUGUAGUGUCACUCUGGUGAGGCUAUCCCACUUAUUGUGCAGUGUCACUGUCUGUGUGGAUAUCUCAAUGAUUGUGUAGUGUCACUGCCUGUGAGGAUAUCUCACUGAUUGUGUAGUGUCACUGUCUGUGUGGAUAUCCCACUGAUUGUGCAGUGUCACUGUCUGUGAGGAUAUCUCACUGAUUGUGCAGUGUCACUGCCUGUGAGGAUAUCCCACUGAUUGUGUAGUGUCACUGUCUGUGUGAAUAUCUCACUGAUUGUGUAGUGUCACUGUCUGUGUGGAUAUCCCACUGAUUGUGUAGUAGUGUCACUGCCUGUGAAGAUAUCUCACUGAUUGUGUAGUAGUGUCACUGUCUGUGUGGAUAUCUCACUGAUUGUGUAGUAGUGUCACUGUCUGUGAGGAUAUCUCACUGAUUGUGUAGUAGUGUCACUGUCUGUGAGGAUAUCUCACUGAUUGUGUAGUAGUGUCACUGCCUGUGAGGAUAUCUCACUGAUUGUGUAGUAGUGUCACUGCCUGUGUGGAUAUCUCACUGAUUGUGUAGUAGUGUCACUGUCUGUGAGGAUAUCCCACUGAUUGUGUAGUAGUGUCACUGCCUGUGAGAAUAUCCCACUGAUUGUGUAGUGUCACUGCCUGUGAGGAUAUCUCACUGAUUGUGUAGUGUCACUGUCUGUGUCGAUAUCCCACUGAUUGUGCAGUGUCACUGUCUGUGAGGAUAUCUCACUGAUUGUGCAGUGUCACUGUCUGUGUCGAUAUCUCACUGAUUGUGUAGUAGUGUCACUGUCUGUGUGGAUAUCUCACUGAUUGUGUAGUGUCACUGUCUGUGAGGAUAUCUCACUGAUUGUGCAGUGUCACUGCCUGUGAGGAUAUGUCACUGAUUGUGUAUUGUCACUGUCUGUGAGGAUAUGUCACUGAUUGUGUAGUGUCACUGCGGGUGAGGCUAUCCCACUUAUUGUGCAGUGUCACUGUCUGUGUGGAUAUCUCAAUGAUUGUGUAGUGUCACUGCCUGUGAGGAUAUCUCACUGAUUGUGUAGUGUCACUGCGGGUGAGGCUAUCCCACUGAUUGUGCAGUGUCACUGUCUGUGAGGAUAUCUCACUGAUUGUGCAGUGUCACUGCCUGUGAGGAUAUCCCACUGAUUGUGUAGUGUCACUGUCUGUGAGGAUAUCUCACUGAUUGUGUAGUAGUGUCACUGCCUGUGAGGAUAUCUCACUGAUUGUGUAUUGUCACUGCCUGUGAGGAUAUCUCACUGAUUGUGUAGUAGUGUCACUGUCUGUGUGGAUAUCUCACUGAUUGUGUAGUGUCACUGUCUGUGAGGAUAUCUCACUGAUUGUGUAUUGUCACUGCCUGUGAGGAUAUCUCACUGAUUGUGUAGUAGUGUCACUGUCUGUGUGGAUAUCUCACUGAUUGUGUAGUGUCACUGUUCGUGAGGAUAUCUCACUGAUUGUGCAGUGUCACUGCCUGUGAGGAUAUGUCACUGAUUGUGUAUUGUCACUGUCUGUGAGGAUAUGUCACUGAUUGUGUAGUGUCACUGCGGUGAGGCUAUCCCACUUAUUGUGCAGUGUCACUGUCUGUGUGGAUAUCUCAAUGAUUGUGUAGUGUCACUGCCUGUGAGGAUAUCUCACUGAUUGUGUAACUGCCUGUGAGGAUAUGUCACUGAUGUGUAGUGUCACUGCCUGUGAGGAUAUCUCACUGAUUGUGCAGUGUCACUGUCUGUGAGGAUAUCUCACUGAUUGUGUAGUGUCACCGCCUGUGAGGAUAUCUCACUGAUUGUGUAGUAGUGUCACUGCCUGUGAGGAUAUCUCACUGAUUGUGCAGUGUCACCGCCUGUGAGGAUAUCUCACUGAUUGUGCAGUGUCACUGUCUGUGAGAUAUCUCACUGAUUGUGCAGUAGUGUCACUGCCUGUGAGGAUAUCUCACUGAUUGUGUAGUAGUGUGAGGAUAUCUCACUGAUUGUGCAGUGUCACUGCCUGUGAGGAUAUCUCACUGAUUGUGCAGUGUCACUGUCUGUGAGGAUAUCUCACUGAUUGCAGUAGUGUCACUGCCUGUGAGGAUAUCUCACUGAUUGUGUAGUAGUGUCACUGCCUGUGAGGAUAUCUCACUGAUUGUGUAGUGUCACGUGAGGAUAUCUCACUGAUUGUGUAGUGUCACUGCCUGUGAGAUAUCCCACUGAUUGUGUAGUGUCAGUGAGGAUAUCUCACUGAUUGUGUAGUGUCACUGCCUGUGAGGAUAUCUCACUGAUUGUCAGUGUCACUGUCUGUGAGGAUAUCUCACUGAUUGUGCAGUGUCACUGCCUGUGAGGAUAUCCCACUGAUUGUGUAGUGUCACUGUCUGUGAGGAUAUCUCACUGAUUGUGUAGUAGUGUCACUGCCUGUGAGGAUAUCUCACUGAUUGUGUAGUAGUGUCACUGCCUGUGAGGAUAUCUCACUGAUUGUGUAGUGUCACUGUCUGUGAGGAUAUCUCACUGAUUGUGCAGUAGUGUCACUGUCUGUGAGGAUAUCUCACUGAUUGUGUAGUAGUGUCACUGCCUGUGAGGAUAUAUCACUGAUUGUGUAAUGUCACUGCCUGUGUGGAUAUCUCACUGAUUGUGUAGUGUCACUGCCUGUGAGGAUAUCUCACUGAUUGUGCAGUGUCACUGCCUGUGAGGAUAUCUCACUGAUUGUGUAGUGUCACUGUCUGUGAGGAUAUCUCACUGAUUGUGUAGUAGUGUCACUGCCUGUGUGGAUAUCUCACUGAUUGUGUAGUGUCACUGUCUGUGAGGAUAUCUCACUGAUUGUGUAGUAGUGUCACUGCCUGUGAGGAUAUCUCACUGAUUGUGUAGUAGUGUCACUGCCUGUGAGGAUAUCUCACUGAUUGUGUAUUAGUGUCACUGCCUGUGAGGAUAUCUCACUGAUUGUGUAGUAGUGUCACUGCCUGUGAGGAUAUCUCACUGAUUGUGUAGUAGUGUCACUGCCUGUGAGGAUAUCUCACUGAUUGUGCAGUGUCACUGUCUGUGAGGAUAUCCCACUGAUUGUGCAGUGUCACUGCCUGUGAGGAUAUCUCACUGAUUGUGUAGUGUCACUGCCUGUGAGGAUAUCCCACUGAUUGUGUAGUAGUGUCACUGCCUGUGAGGAUAUCCCACUGAUUGUGUAGUAGUGUCACUGCCUGUGUGGAUAUCUCACUGAUUGUGUAGUGUCACUGCCUGUGAGGAUAUCUCACUGAUUGUGUAGUGUCACUGUCUGUGAGGAUAUCCCACUGAUUGUGUAGUAGUGUCACUGUCUGUGAGGAUAUCCCACUGAUUGUGUAGUAGUGUCACUGCCUGUGAGGAUAUCUCACUGAUUGUGUAGUAGUGUCACUGCCUGUGAGGAUAUAUCACUGAUUGUGUAGUGUCACUGUCUGUGAGGAUAUCCCACUGGUUGUGUAGUGUCACUGCCUGUGAGGAUAUGUCACUGAUUGUGUAGUAGUGUCACUGCCUGUGAGGAUAUCUCACUGAUUGUGUAGUAGUGUCACUGCCUGUGUGGAUAUCUCACUGAUUGUGCAGUAGUGUCACUGCCUGUGAGGAUAUCUCACUGAUUGUGUAGUAGUGUCACUGCCUGUGAGGAUAUAUCACUGAUUGUGUAGUAGUGUCACUGUCUGUGAGGAUAUCCCACUGAUUGUGUAGUAGUGUCACUGCCUGUGUGAAUAUCUCACUGAUUGUGUAGUGUCACUGUCUGUGUGGAUAUCCCACUGAUUGUGUAGUAGUGUCACUGCCUGUGAGGAUAUCUCACUGAUUGUGUAGUAGUGUCACUGUCUGUGUGGAUAUCUCACUGAUUGUGUAGUAGUGUCACUGUCUGUGAGGAUAUCUCACUGAUUGUGUAGUAGUGUCACUGUCUGUGAGGAUAUCUCACUGAUUGUGUAGUAGUGUCACUGCCUGUGAGGAUAUCUCACUGAUUGUGUAGUAGUGUCACUGCCUGUGUGGAUAUCUCACUGAUUGUGUAGUAGUGUCACUGUCUGUGAGGAUAUCCCACUGAUUGUGUAGUAGUGUCACUGCCUGUGAGAAUAUCCCACUGAUUGUGUAGUAGUGUCACUGUCUGUGAGGAUAUCUCACUGAUUGUGUAGUAGUGUCACUGCCUGUGUGGAUAUCUCACUGAUUGUGUAGUAGUGUCACUGUCUGUGAGGAUAUCCCACUGAUUGUGUAGUAGUGUCACUGCCUGUGAGGAUAUCCCACUGAUUGUGUAGUAGUGUCACUGUCUGUGAGGAUAUCUCACUGAUUGUGUAGUGUCACUGCCUGUGAGGAUAUCUCACUGAUUGUGUAGUGUCACUGCCUGUGAGGAUAUCUCACUGAUUGUGCAGUGUCACUGCCUGUGAGGAUAUAUCACUGAUUGUGUAGUGUCACUGCCUGUGAGGAUAUAUCACUGAUUGUGUAGUGUCACUGUCUGUGAGGAUAUCCCACUGAUUGUGUAGUGUCACUGUCUGUGAGGAUAUCUCACUGAUUGUGUAGUGUCACUGCCUGUGAGGAUAUCUCACUGAAUGUGUAGUGUCACUGACUGUGAGGAUAUCCCACUGAUUGUGUAGUGUCACUGUCUGUGAGGAUAUCCCACUGAUUGUGUAGUAGUGUCACUGCCUGUGUGGAUAUCUCACUGAUUGUGCAGUAGUGUCACUGUCUGUGAGGAUAUCUCACUGAUUGUGUAGUAGUGUCACUGCCUGUGUGGAUAUAUCACUGAUUGUGUAGUAGUGUCACUGCCUGUGUGGAUAUAUCACUGAUUGUGUAGUGUCACUGCCUGUGUGGAUAUCUCACUGAUUGUGUAGUAGUGUCACUGCCUGUGAGGAUAUCUCACUGAUUGUGUAAAUUGUUACUCCACACUAUGCAACCUUGCUGUUUACUCUUUAGUUUGUCAGAUUGUGUCCAGUUUAUUCAGUUUUAGUGUCGUAUGCCAGCAUUUGUCAUGUAGUGUGGCCAGCCCUUGUGCCCUAACAAUGUUGCCUCACAAUGCCUUCCUUCAAUCCUACUUUGCCCAGUGAGCAAACUUCACAAAAUUUUUGUGCAAAUGGCAGAUUGCUCUCCGAAUUUCCUACACAUUUUCAAUACUUAAACUCUUAUCCACACUAAAUCCUAUGCAAAAUGUGCCACACUCACAUACAAACCCCAACAUAGACGUUCCAUGAAAUGACACUGGUGGGUUUGGUAAAAGGGGAUGGGAAUCGUGUCACUGGUUCUGAUAAUUUUCAGGACAGGUCCAUGGUGUCCCUAAAAGCGGCAAACAAGAGAACCAAUUUGGGAUGGUGGGACAAGACCCUUAAAUGGGGACUGUCCCAGCAAUCACCAAAUCCUGUGAGUGAUUUUCUACCAGUUAAUAAAUAUAACUCAUAUACUUGCACAUAUCCGUUCGAUGAUCUCAAGAAUCUAAAAACAGAAACUAAACUAGUCCGUGUGCAACACUGUCAAAUAUCAGAAACUAUGAUAGUAUAUGAGUUAUAUUUAUUAACUGCUGGAAAAUCACACACAAUAUAUGGUGAUCGCUGGGACAGUCCCUAUUUAUAUGGUGAUUUAUUUGCACUUAUUCUAUGUACCAUGUUGUAUGAAUAAUUAGUGGUCACUUAUGCACCUUAAUUGGUAUCUAUUUGCAUGAUAUAUAUUACAAGAUAAUUGUGCACUGUUUUAAUUGAUAAUGUGCACCGAUUUAUGGCUUGUUUGUUUGGAAUCUGUUUACCAUGGUUUUAUUUGGUUGCAGCAUUUAUUAAUUAGUGAUACAGUAGGUAAUUGUAUACUUUUGCACAAUCAUAUCAAUUCUUUGGUUUUAUAGUCAAUUUUGUAGCCCACCUCUGCACUUUUUCUAGUGCCAUAAUAUCCUUCUUCAGAACAGGUUCCCAGAUGAUUGCACAGCACAUUCAAGGUGUGCUUUUACCAGUGAAUUAUAAAGAGUCAAAAUUAUAUUCUAAUGCCCUUUUUAUACAUUAUAAUAACUUACUGGCCUAAGCAACCGUUGCUUAACAUUGCAUAUAGCUGCCUAAUUUGUUGUCUAUAACAAUUCCCAAAUCCUUCUCGUGUUAUUAUCCCUAAUUUCCUACCAUUUAAGGUGUAAGUUGCUUGCGCAUUAUUUUACCCCCAAAUGCCUAAAUUUAAAUUUUUCUACAUUAAAUUUAAUCUGCCAUUUUAGUCCCUUUCAUUUCUUAUAUGUAAUUUGUAUGAGUAUCUGUAAGGCAGAGACUGUGGGGCUGGGAUCUACCCAUCUCCUCCCACUGAGAGUCAGCAUCCAUCCUUGUUUGGGGAUACAGUACAUUUGAUCAAUGAUCUUACUGGCUGUUACUUUGUUCAUCUGCAUUCAGAUUUUCAUAAAAAUAAAUCACUGAAAUAAAAUGAAAUCCAAAACAUAUUCUCACAUUUCAGAACUGUAUUUAUUUACCAAUGUUAAUAUAAAAAAAAACAUGACCCCAAAUAUUUGCCCUCAUUUCCCUAAACUAUCCCCUCCUUUAACUACAUAGAUAAAGCACCCCUCUCUAUGAUAUUCCAGGCAAAGUAUAUACUCCAUCUAUUGACCAUCAGUAAAGUGUCCCUCCAAUGGUCUGUGUAAAUAGUCCAUCCCUCUCUUGGUUACUUUAUCCAUUGGGGCUUGCUAUCACAGUUUUCUUUUUAAUCUACUUCAGCAAUGUAGCACAAAUGUUAUCUCUGGCAUUUUCAAUCCACCCAGAGACACGUUUUUGGUGCCCAAGGCAAAACCUCAGCCUUUAUUUCAUGCAGAACGUCGUAAUAUGCGAACGCAAUAUGUUCCAGACACUAUAUACGUCACAGACACCAUAACACAGCAAGUGCACACACUGUACAAUAAAGGUGCUUGUCUCCAGAGAUAAAUAUAUACGUAUUCCUUAAAUAGCUGUCAUUGUUUUCAAAUACGAAGUGUAAAGAAGGGGCUCGUGGAAUUGGUUUGUAAAUAAAGCAAAGGCACAGAAAGAAACAGUAAAAUCUACUUGGGAUAUUAAGAGGGCGAAGUGGCAAGCUGUGAAUAACUUGGUGUGUUUUACAUCCAGGUGGAGCUUAAAGGGUCGUUGUAAGCAGUGGUGUAUUUAGGAUUUGUGCUGCCCUAGGCAGGACGGUGCUCGGGCACCCCCCCCAAUUUAAAUUUUCCCCACCCCUUCCUGUCAAGGCCGCACUUUGACUGACAGACGCUCACUCACUGACACACGCACACUCACUGACAGAUGCACACACACUGAUAGAUGCAUACACUCAUUGACAGACACACACUCUCAUAUACACUGACAAACAAUGACAUAUACACACUGAUAGUAAAUCACUUACUCGGACACACACUCACUGACAAAUUCAUUGAUAGACGCACACUCUCACUGACAGUCGCACUCACUGACAGACGCACGCACUCACUAACUGACACAUACACACUGACUGACCGACACACACUCAUUGACAGACACACACACUCACUCACUCAAAUUCACUGGCACACACACUCACUGAAACACACACACUCACUGACAGACACACACACUCACUCAAAUUCACUGACACACACACUCACACUGACUGACCGACACACACACUCACUCAAAUUCACUGACACACAUUCACAUUCACUGACACACACUCACAUUCACACACUCACAUUUACUGACACACACACAUUUACUGACACACACACAAAUUUCCCCCAUUCACAAUUAUUAAUAUUAUUUUUUUCAAGAAUUGAAAUCCACUCAGUUUCCCUACUUUUGGGAUAGCUGGGUGGAUAUUUCACCUGGGGACCAGUGGGGCUGCUGGGCAGGAAGGCGGCCGGACGUGCAGGCAGGCGGGUGGUGAGGCGCGCCGCAGAGUGAUGCCGGGAGCCAGAAUAUGACAUCAUAUUCUGGCUCCCGGCAUUACUGUGGGUCGCGCAAGGGAGCUGAGCAGAUAGAGCUUGGGGAAGUGCUCCCUCGCCGCCCACCCGGGGUAGUCCAAAGGUGGCCAGCUGGCCAGCUCUUGGGCUCCCGUAAAAGAGGCAAACAAGGUAUUUGCCUGGGCAUUUGGGGGCAGUGUUUUUUGCCGCCCCCUGGAAAUUGCCGCCCAAGGCAAUUUCUGAAAUGGUAAUGGUGCAAAGACAUUAUCUCGAAGACCUUUCUUUUUAUUAUUAUUUUUUAUUUCUGCAUAGUUUUAGACAACACACACACAGCAUGCUGACACCAGACACUGUGGCAAGGCUGCACAGAUAAUCCCUGUGUUUGUCACAUCGCCAGCAGUACCGUCAAAAGAUGUGCGCAGCCACGGCAGAGUGUAGAGUUCAGAGGUAAAAGAACAUACAAGCCAUACUUUGGAGAAUGUAUGUAAUGCCAAACUAAGUGCAAGAAGUUGUCUAACCCUGCUAGACUACAAUUCCUAUGAUGCUCAGUGAGAUUCUGGACUGGAGUCUGAUAGGACUUAAAAUAUAUAUCUGAUGUUAAAGGGGUAGUGAAACAACCACUUGUUAAACAGCUUAUGUGGAAUAUUACUCUAAUCAACCUCAUCAAGUGGUCAGCUAAGCCUGAUACAUUAACUGUUCUAUAGACUGCCACUUGAACAACUACAGCCCUAAUAUAAUUGUUUUAUAUGAAACCUAAAUAGCAAUAAAACAUUAAAUCUCUAGGAUUUGAACUGGAGAUUAGUCCUUAAAGGGACACUAUAGUCACCAAAACAACUGUAGCUUAAUGAAGCAGUUUUGCUAUACAGAUCAUGUAUACACUGUGUGUAUAAGGGAUGUAGUGUGCGUAUAGAAGUAUAAUAUAUGUAUUGGGGAGGUGUAGUGUGUGUGUAUAUAGGUGGGGUAUGGACUUGAUUAUUUAUAUUAAUGAUGUUAUAAAUACAUUUUUUUUUAUAAAAAAAACAAAAACAAGAAAAACAUACAUAUGUUGCCAGAGUGUGCAAGAUAGUUAUUCGUAGUCUGCACCUAGUGGAGGUGCAGACUGAAUAGCCAGCUCCACUAGCCCUGGGAUCGGCAUGUCCUUGGUCCCUGCAAAGUAACAACAGGGAGGGGGACAUGCCGGUUCCUGGUGGUCCAGUGAGGCUGGCUAUCCACCUUGCAAUCUGCUGUUUGCAGACCAUGAAUAGCUGUCUUGUGAGCUCUGGCAACGCUCUGAUUGGCCUCUGGGAUCUUGCCACUGUCAUAGCAGUGGGCAGACUGUCUGGAGGGUCUAUGUAUGCACUGGCACACUGGGCAGUGUCAGACCCUAUUGUAUAAUGUUACGUUUCUAAAUUGAUCUUUUUUGACAAGAGUUUUAGCAAGUAAAUACAGUCCAAGUGGCAUAUUAUUAAAAUACACUUAUUAAAAAGGUGAAUCCACAGAGUCUGUGUCCUCCCCAAUGUCACAAUAUUUUGAUAGCCCCAAACACCAGGAUCAUUGACUCUUUCAAAAUGUGGCAUCCACAGGAGUCUAAUCCUCCACAUUGCAUGAGAGAUUGGCACUUUUAUUACUGCAAGAAAUGGUACCUGUACCUUGUGAUUUUAUUUCUCGAUGCACCCACUGCACUCAGAUAAUAAGCUCCUUUUUACUUAUAUUUAAUACAAAAACCGUACUGAAUUACUAAAUCUAUUAGGAUCUUGUUUUGCAAAAUACACCUUUGAAGUGAGCUGCUGGGGCCCUCUGCUGCUGUAGAUAGCACUGCCUAAAUUGAAAUGGUUGGACAACUCACUACCCAGUGCUGGUAUUGUGUUAAUGGAACACAGUGCUUUCAUUUUAAAGCCAUUGUUUGAUCAGGAUGAUGCACUGAUGAUACAAAGGACAUACAUUACAUGCAGCCCAGAUAUACACUGUGAAACCUGACUGAUGGUCAGAUGUAUAGGGGCAUUCUAUCCAUUACCCUGAUUUACCAUACACAUUAUCUAAUGAAGCUAGAUGAUGCAGCUAAACUCCUGGAGCUUUGAAGUUACAGCAAUAUCUAAGUUACAUAGUUGAAAAGAGACUUGCGUCCAUCAAGUUCAGCCUUCCUCACAUUUGUUUUUUGCUGUUGAUCCAAAAGAGGCAAAAAAAAAAAGUUUGAAACACUUCCAAUUUUGCAACAAACUAAGAAAAAAAUUCCUUCUUGACCCCAGAAUGGCAGUCAGAUUUAUCCUUGGCUCAAUCAGCUAUUACCCUACAUUGAAAGAUUAUAUCCUUGAAUAUUCUGUUUUUGCAAGUAUGCAUCUCGUUGCUUUUUAAACAUCUGUAUGGACUCUGAUAAAACCACUUCUUCAGGCUGAGAAUUCCACAUCCUGAUUGUUCUUACAGUAAAAAAACCUUUCCUUUGCCUUAGACGAAAUCUUCUUUCUUCCAGUCUAAACGCAUGUCCUCGUGUCCUAUGUAAAGUCCGGUUUGUGAAUAGAUUUCCACACAAUGGUUUGUAUUGGCCCCGAAUAUAUUUGUAUAAUGUUAUCAUAAGUAAACUGAUGAUGUGAUUCAAGAACCUGAGAUUAUCUGCGUAAAAUAUAGUAUACUCUGCCUGGGUUUAAAUUGUAUUACAGUGUAAUAAGCUUUUUUUGUUUCAGUCACAUAUUUUCUUUAAAAGUGAGUUUACGACGCAAGUACUUUUCCCAAUGCUGACACCUCAGUUAUUGUCACUAGGAAACUAUAAGACUGUGCCAAAGUCAAAUAUCUCCAGUAACACACACAAUCUUUUUGGCAGGUAGAAACAUUUGAUGGUGAAAGGUUUCCAUUAGAAAUGUAACCCCUAAAGGAUCACUGACGGAAUAAUCCCACCAUUUCAGUCUGUGCCAAGAAAACAACUGACUGAAUAAUUCCGUCAUGUACUAAGAUUAACGCCAGUUCAGCCAGUCACGGCGAUCACAGUGCUGCUGGGAUAUGUGAUCCGCCUUCAUCCACCGCUGUUUGAGUUGUGAAGUGGAGAGAGAUGGAUCGGAGAGAUACUUUUUGUGCUGCUUGGGAUAAAAUUGUAUCAGUUAAAAUAAAACAAAUUUAGCCCUGUAAGACCAAUUUUAACAAUUGCCCUGCCUUUUGAUCACUGCUUGCUUGAUCAGAAUUCAGCUCACAAUACUUUACUGCAAUCUGUUUUUUGUUCUUUUUACCCUGAGGGGAUAACUUGGAUUUAUUUAUUUUUUAACCCUGAGGGGUUAUUUUUUAUAUAUUUAUUGUAUUUAUUUUAUUUGGUGAUUUAGUUAGCUGGGGUGGGUUAAAGUUAGUGGGAAAUUGUGGAAUUUAGUGAUAGGUUAGUUAGGGGUUAAAGGAAAAAAAAGUUGUAAAAAAAAACAAAAAAAGUUCCCUGACGCCGCUCAAGACGCAGAUAACUGGGUGCCCCCCCUAUAAUCUUACCCCUGACAUCUCUAUCUUUACUACAACUCCAGGCAUUCUGACUAAUGUGUCCAGCUGUGGCCCAGUGGAGUUUAUGCAGUUGUUCCUGGGGGACAAAAUUUUAGUGAAUACUGGAACGCAAACCAAUCUCUAUGCUGAGCAGUAUAUUGCCCAGAACCAUGCGUGAUUUACUGCCAGGAAAGUGGCAUGGCACUCAACCAGUGUCCCGGAAUUAAAGCAAUUCUGGGCACUCACAAUGUUAAUAGGGAUCAUAAAGAAGCCUAUUGUUUGCUUGCAUUGGACAAAGAAUCCUAUCUGCUGUACCCCAAUUUUUUUCACAAACCAUGAAGAGACGCAGAUAUGAAACAUUACUGUGAUUAAUGCAUUUUAACAAUAAUAGCAAGUGACUACAAAGUAAUUUGCAGAAUGAAAAAUUGUUUACAAUUCACCCCAAUUUAAUCAGAAGUUGAAAGCUUGUCCCCCCCCCAAAAAAAACAUCUAUAUAGAUGAAUCCCUAAUGAGGUUUAAAGGGAGAUUGGGAUUCAAGCAGUUUAUAAUGUCUAAUAAGUCUAGAUACAGUGUUAAGCUGUAUAAACUCUGCAAGAGAGGUGGUGGUAUGUAUAGCUUUUACUUAUAUGAGGGGAAGGACAGCCACCGAGAUCCACCAGGUUGCCCAGAAAUUAUAGGAUCAAGUGGGAAAAUUGUAUGGGCUGUCAUUGUAUGGGCUGUCAUUGUACCACCUGUACAAUGACAGUUUUUAUAACAAAAUUGAAGAGAAGAAAAUAAACAUUUAAAAAAAUAUUUUAAAAAUGUAUAAAAAAAUAUUUAGAAAAAAUAUAUAUACUUUAAAGAAAGAGUAGAGGAAAGGGGGAAUAAAAAUCUCACCCUUUUCCAUCUCCUUCUCAAAUAAAAUUAAAGGAAAUGGAUUAACUCAAAAUCUAAAGUAAGUCCCUUAGGGGACAGAGUAUCUAAAUUGAAAAUCCAUCUACUCUCAAUUUUAUUCAGCUCAUUAAAAUUGUCCUCCCCCCUCCAACUUACAUUCUUUAAAAAAAAAUUAUAUUUUUUCAAAGUAUUUUUUUAUAAAUGUUUUAAAUUAUUUUUUUGUUUAUUCUCCUCUCUCGAUUUUUUACAGUCCUCAGUGACACAGACAAUCAGACACACACACAUUCAGACACACACACACACUCAUUUAGAUACACACACAUACAGACACACAGAAACACACAUACAGACACACACUCAAACACUCGAACACACAGUUACUCAGUGACAUAGACAAUCAGACACACACACAUUCAGACACACACACACACACACACAUUCAGACACACACACUCACUCAGACACACAUCAACAGACACACAGAAACACACAAAGACACACAUACAGACACACACACACAUACAAACACACAGAAACAACAGACACUCUCUUUGACGAAUAAACAUGUAAGAGACACACACAUACAGACACAAACUGAAAAAAAAUGCAGCAGACCAGCUGCCUUCAAUCUCUCCAUCUUUCUUGGUGUUUACUUCAUCUGGGCUGGCACAACUUUACUGCCGAACAUUAACACUCAGUCUGGUGCGCUGGCUCAAUCCAGAUACAUUCGCAGAGAAUGGAUCCAUAAUAAACACACAUAUUAUCUGGUUUAUUAUCACCAUUCUCUCCCAUUCCCUCUAAGCAGCAUAAUUCACACUGCAUCUAAAAAUAUCAAAGUGCUGCAGGGGAACAUGUUCAUUAUUGAAUAUUCUGUUGCUAUCUGCCUAAAAUCUGCAUGUGGAUCUAAUCAGGAAUUCCGGAAUCAGUGUCUUCUGUCACUCUUUAACUAUUUGAUAAUCACAGUCUAAUUCCCAAUACUUAUUCGUGCCAGAGGGAUAGGCAAACCUUUGGUCUUGUUGUCGUGUUGUAUGUUAAUGGAAUUUUGGUAGAUUCUGUUUGUGUUUGCAGUGCAGUAUUUAUCUUGCCGAUCACAUCAUUGCAUAUUUCCCAUCCUCUGAAAAUCAUUAUUUCACAACUAGUUUUAGAACCGUGUUUAGAAUUGAUGUGUGAAAACCCUUUUCAGAGCUAAUAAACCUUUUGUACGAUAAUGAGUUUUGCAGUGAAAGGUGUGGGGAGAGCAAGGGUCUAUCAUUUGCUUAAUUUUUCAUAUCACUUUCAAUUUAUUGAGGUGCAGAACGAAUUCAAAUGCAAUUAUUCAAAAAGUGGCUUGCUUUUUUUUUUUUAUUUGGGCUGGAGGGCAUCCUGAAUGGUAAAGAAGCAUGGUAUCAUUUUUUUUUUUUAAUUUUUGGGGCCGUAACAAGAAAUUUAUUGUCGAUUCAAGUUAAUUGGGGUGCAAAAAGUGAGUCUUACAUGGGACCCCCUAAUCUCUCUGUGUCUAAAGAGCACCUUGAUUGCCUCACUAAUGUUGUGAACAUUUGUAUUUAGGCCCUAAUUUAAUAUUGUUGGAUAAGCUUUUCAAAUGAUAUAAUAUUUUUGGAUUAACUUUUUAAAUGAUUUUUCAAAAUAUUAAAAUGUCAAACAAAUACAUAAAUUAAAAAUUAUCAAUACAUAAAAAACUAUCAAAAUGUAAAAAAAAAAUUCAAAAUAUAAGGAUGUGACAGAGUCCCUAAUUGAUCAAACAGAGCCCUAAUUGGUAUUUAACAGCAAUAAAAAAAGUAGAAUUUACAUUGUGACAAGUGAUAUACACAGCAAACAAUGCAGAGGGAUCAUAAUCACAGAUAACAUCAGGCAAAUCUUCCUGAGACUUCCCAUUUGACGUAUCUGUCAGAUUAAUUACAGAAAUUUUGAAUAAUCGGCUCAGUUUAAUGAAUGUUGCUGCUCUAAAAAAAAUCCUAAAUUUUCAGUAACUCUCUAGAUAAGACUAGUGGUUGAAUAAAAAUUUAAAUCAAACAUAUAUUUAGAAACAAUAAUUAUUUAUGUACCCACUUUAUUUAAGAAUAAAUUAUACGAAUCAACUUAUUUUAACUAGAAAAAAUUAACUGAGAAAUCUGAAUCAAAUUUUUGUUUAACCCCUUAAGGACACAUGACAUGUGUGACAUGUCAUGGUUCCCUUUUAUUCCAGAAGUUUGGUCCUUAAGGGGUUAAAUCCUUUAUUUCCAUAAGCUAUAGAAUUACUAGAGAAAGGCUUCUUCUGCAUUUCUUAAAUCUCUAUCAAACCGAAUCUUUGCUGUGAGUAUACAUUUACAGCUGAAUGUGGGUGAUAAGAUAUAGCUGCAACAUGUUUUAUUUCAGAACAUCCUGGUAGUUAGAAAUUAAGUGACCUGCGCAUGUCUCAGUAUAAUGCAAUUUUCUUUUGUACGAGUCUCCUUGAUACAUUUAUUUUAUCUCCGUUGACAUAUUUUAACAUAUUAGAAAGAGAAACACACUUAUAUCGCUUGUGAUUUUCAUGGUAUAUGAUUCAUUUGGCACAAAAACCAAGACAUGACCUUAUAGAGGCAUAUGGUGCCUGUUAUAGAUGAAAGCAAAAUAUUGAUAUGGGCAGCAUUAAAGGCAAAGGAAAAAGGACAAUAUUUAGUGACAUCUUGUUUUAAUCUAUUUGCGGCUUGAUAAGGGCAUUUGUAAGAGUUUUAGUUGACAGUGAUGUGUCAGAGUAAUUAACAGACUGCUAUCAAAGAGAAUAGAAAUGUAACAAGAUUGUAACGCAGUAUACAUGACUGAGAUGAUGUCGCUAUUUCAGGAUGAAUUGGAAAACAUGUUAUAUUGAGCAUAGGAAAGGUUUUUAAAUAGUUUAUAUUUAAUGAGCAAAUAAAUGAAGGUGCAUGUAUGAAUAAUGCAAUAAAGUCCAAAGAAAAUAGUUACUUGAGUACUAUCUCAAAUCCCUAUGCAUAUUUAAAUAACUGAAGGUUUUUAGUAUCACUCCAAUGGCCAUUUAAGUGUAAGCUCACCUGCCACGCCAAGGCAAACCGCGAGUCCUACACUAACACUUCACCUUGCUUCCUUCAGCGACAGGUAAAAAAAAAAUAUCUAAUGAAACAGAAAGGUUAAUCAGGUAAGUGACAGAAGGGUCUCUAACUCUUCCUGCGCUACAGCGGAAGGGGGUGGUGUGAGGGAUGGGGUAUUGUGGGUCACUAUAGUGCUAGUAAAACCCCUCUUUGUCUCAUCCAAAAUUUGUUGCCUGCAGUUGAAGGAAGCAAGGUGAAUUGUUAGCACAGGGCUCACCUAAGAGGUUUGCCUUGGCAUGGCAGGUGAGCUUACACUUGAGUGGCCACUGCAGUAAGAAAAACAUUUAAAUCCAACCAAACAUGUUUGACAUACGGAGACAGUAGGUAAAGAGGGCUUACAAUCUAAAGAGCUAUUCACAAACCGGACUUUACAUAGGACACGAGGCCAUGAGUUUAGACUGGAAGAAAGAAGAUUUCGUCUAAGGCAAAGGAAAGGUUUUUUUACUGUAAGAACAAUCAGGAUGUGGAAUUCUCUGCCUGAGGAAGUGGUUUUAUCAGAGUCCAUACAGAUGUUCAAACGGCUACUAGAUGCAUACUUGCAAGAACAGAAUAUUCAAGGAUAUAAUCUUUCAAUGUAGGGUAAUAACUGCUUGAUCCAAGGAUAAAUCUGACUGCCAUUCUGGGGUCAAGAAGGAAUUUUUUUCCUAGCUUGUUGCAAAAUUGUGCUUCAAACUGGUUUUUUUUGCCUUCUUUUGGAUCAACAGCAAAAAACACAUGUGAGGAAGGCUGAACUUGAUGGACGCAAGUCUCUUUUCAGCUAUGUAACUAUGUAACUAUGUAAUAAAAAAAGAUUUCCUGAGCAGUUUUAUUCAUUUCUUGCUCUCUUUCUAGAUACCUUAAGACAUUUUAUUCCCGUGUCUCACAAACUUUUAUUUUAUCAUUAAUAUUUUACUCCCCCUCCCCCCCCAUUUGAUAAUGGUAAUACUUUUCUUACUAACACUGAAAUGUAUGUGACCCUCUUUGAUGAAAACGUUCUAGGGUUCUAAGUUCACCUGCUUAUAAAAACUUUGUUACACCUUAAAAAAGGAAUUCUAGUAGGGACUGUUCUUCUCACAGCUGGCUUUUAUUACAUGAAGAUUGGAUAUUUAGACUCUAGAAGCUCCUAGAACAUUGGUUCCCAAUAGUUUGUAAACCAUUUGUGUGUCAGUAUGUAUAUCUACUGUAUCCAAAAACUCAUGUAACUUUUCACUCUGGAUCGUUUUGUUCAUAUACACUUUAUAUUCUACCAUGCGAUGGCUGUUACCGGUGGAUGCUAAUUAUACAUUGUAUCUAGAAAAUUACAAUGCAUGAGUCUGCUAAACUUCUUCGCCAAGAUUGCUUAGCCUUUUUGUUUUAUUUUAGUACUUUAAUUCAUGGAAUUUUUGUUGUUUCUUGUGUUAUUUUUAUGUUUUUGUUUAGAGGUAAUUACCGUUAUUAUCUUCACGUGUUGAACCACCUUUCUCGUCAAAUACUUUCUUAGGUUUUUUUUUUCCUCCUGAAACCUGGCAGUCGGAGUACAGUUAAUUAUAGGUGCACAGAUUUUGAGGCCACAUGAGGACCACUUAGAGGAAAAAAUUAUACCAAUAAUUAAAGCUUAAUUACCUUUACAAGAUGUGUGGUGUGUGCUAACACAAACCCUUUUUUGAGAUGUAUUUGCAGUAAUCUGAUAUACAUGAAUAAAUCGUCAAAUAAAAACAUGUUUUCUUAGAUCAGCCAUUUUUCUUCUCGUUCCUGUCUUGACAGUAAGUCUCCAACCUCAAAAAAAUAAACCAUAUGUUAAAAACAAAUAAGAUUUCUCUAUGCAGAUCACUUCUUCUAAAACAGUUAGAAAGUGGAAAAAAAAAAGUUUGAGAUGCCCACAGAAGUUUGGAUCAAUAAAAAAAAAAAUAUAUAUAUAAAAUAUUUGCUUGUUUUAUUUUUCAAAUUGCAAUCCAUGUCAUUUCUACCCAUUAUCUCCUUCAUUCAGUCGUUUUUACAUACACGUAGGCUAAAGAACAAUUUGUGCUCAGGUUUCUGUGCUUAAAAGAUACAAAGAAAAUGUAAAAUGAUGUCGGUGUACACAGUUAAAGUUUUGGUAUAUUUGGCUUUAUUUAACAGAUGUUAAAACGUUUUUGAUGUAAUAUAGUAUCUCGCAAUAUUUCAUAAAAGGUCUGAUUUAUUAGUAUAGAAGCAGAAAUAUUGUACAGAUAUCAUUAGAAGGGCAAGGAACAUGAUGGAACUGUUUGCAAAUAUGCUACCAGAAUGGAAAAAUAAUAUCUGUAUGUUGGUAUUGCAACAUCAUGUAUCAAGUACGGUUACACUGAGCAUCUCUUACAAAUCUAUCGUGACCAACCAAAAUGGCUCAGAAAAUGAGCAUAUCUCUCAUGCAAAAUAUAUACAUAAUAUUUCUAUCAAUAAAUAUUUUACCGUACAGUUAAUGAAUCUGAUUCCGGUCUAUAUUAGAGAAAUACUGUAAUGUUAGGAAUACAAAUCUGUAUUCUAACACUAUAGCUCCCUCUGCCUCCCCCCUUUAUUUACUCACCCGAUCUCAGCGUCAAUGUCCUUCGGUGCUUGGCCAGUCGGGGGAAUGCAAAAUGUAAAUAUUAUGUAAAAAUAUUGCAGUACACUGCAGUGUAAUGAUAGGCACAUUUAGCACCAUUUGGUUCGCAGAUCAAGUCUGAAAAAGUUAGCAAAAGAGAGGAAAAUGGGAGCAGUAAAAAGAAAUCACAGUUAUCUGUUUGUAUAUUAUAUAUUAAGCAUUUAAAUUCAUAAAUAUACAUUUUUUAACUGCUCAUUUUUCUUUGUGGUGGUCACUUCACACUUUAUCAGUGAGUAACAUUUAUUCACUAUUAUUCAAUCAAUUAUCUUUUUUCUUUGACGUCAUGGGGUGAAUCACGAAACAAACCAAGUGGUUUAGUUCAUUGUCUAUUUUGUUUUGUGAUUCAUCAGUAUAGCACUUCAUAGUUCUUAUAUACUGAGCAAAAACCAUUACGUGUUCCCAAAGACUCUGUUCUAAGUUUUAUAAGCAAUGCAUUAAAAAUAAAACGACUACCUUCAAAGAUGAGCUGGAAAUUUGUGAAUUCUUCUCCCAAAUUCUAAUCCCGUUUUAAUCUGAUUAAAAAUAACUGACUGGCUAGAAUUUUGCAGCUUCUUUUUCAAACCCACAUUCAUUUAAUUAGCAUUGCAGUGCCCGAUGCGGCUCACUGAUUGGAAAAACGAGUCCCAGGAUACUCAGUAACAUUGAAUUGUAAAGUACCCCAUUAUUUGUGUUGAGUCAGGAAUGGGCACGGGAAACGAAAUGUUAAUCACAGAUACAAAGAGACGAGUGACUUGGAACAUUAGCUGUAAGAGUCGUUUCUGAGGACACAAUGAUAAAGGUAGAUAGCUGCUUUGGUCACAGUUACUGGGAACACAAAUGAUUAGCAAAGUCCAAGCUAUUGUGGACUUCAAGUCCCAUCAAGCUGAGUAGGUCGAGAUUAUCACCUAGCGCAGUGCCGAAUGCAUUGGAUGUGAAUGUCUACUAAACAGCGAUGGCCAGUUGCUGCUCAUUGCUAUAAAAAAUGACUGGCUAUUGCUGCCCAGUUGCUAAUCCAAUAAAGUGGGACCUGGAAAAUUUAAAAUUAUUUAAAUAAUUAACUGGGUGAGACAUAGUGCCCCCUCCCGUGCCCUGCGAGUUGAAACUAAUUAAAAGAAACUCCAUCCCCUACCUGGGGCUAUUAAAAAUAAUAACGGGUGGGAAGGUGACAGUGUCCCCCCUGCCGCCACCCAUUGUUGCUUGGGGGGGCGGACCCCCACUCCAUUUAUUAUUUAGGGCCCCAAACCACUGUGUGGGGGCUCAGUUGGACCAUAUGUUUACCUUAUAAUUUAGGGCCCCCACCCGUCACCAAUGGAUAGAGGCUGGGUGGGGACAAUAGGUCCACCCUUAUUAUUAUAAAGAGCGCCCACCAGCUGCAACGGGUGGUGGUAUGCGGGAGACAAUAGGUCCACUCUCACUUAUUAUUUAUGGUCUCCUCCCGCUGCCGAUGGGUGGGGGCUGGUGUUAGACAGUAGGACUACCACCCACUUUAUUAUUUUGUGCCCACACCUUCUGUCAAUGGGUGAUUGUUGGUGGUGACAAUAGGUUUACCCCCCCAUUAUUAUUUAGUUUCCCCACCCUCAACAAAUGGGUGGGGGAGAGGGGACACUGUGUCCCUCAUUAUGAAUGUCUACUAAAUAGCGAGUAGCCAGUUGCUGCUCAUUGCUAUAAAAAAUGACUAGCUAUUGCUGCCCAGUUGCUAAUCCAAUAAAGUGGGACCUGAAACAUUUUAAAUUAUUUAAAUAAUUAACUGGUGUGGACGGGGAGGGGGGGCACAAGUUCCCCUUUUUAGUUUACCAGACCAUACUUGCGGGGUAUGGUUAAGGCUUACAGGGGGACACAGUUUCCUAUCACUUCUAUUUUUAAUUAUUACAAGGAGGAAACUGCGAGCCAGUAGCUCCUCUUCUUAAAAUAAACUAUACACUUGUUAAAAAAUGACUAAUGUGUUGAUGUAAUGAUUACAUCACGGCAUUAAUUAUUAUUUUAUAACAAGUAUAUAUUGAUUAUAUGAGCAAAAUAUAUGCAUCCAGUUCUUAUAUUGAGCAAAAAAAUAAAUAAAUAAAUGUAAUUUCUGUGUAUGCACUUUAUUACUCGUAUUUUUUUAAAUAUAUCUUUGCUUGUGAUGUGCCACGGAAUUCUGGGAAGAGUUUUGGUGUGCCCUGAGUGAGAAAACGUGCACCGAGCUAGAGUAUGGCGAUUGCCCUACCUUUCUUCCAGAGCUCAAUGGGCCAUGAUAAUGGCUAUAUUAGCUUUUUGCGCCAGAGACUGCUACUCCCAUUUCCUGACUAAAGAUAAUGAGAGAUGAAAUUUGAAUUCUCUUUCAUUACGAUGGCUUCUUAUCCUUGAACUGUGUCAGAGAUUAAAUGAAAACUGCCAUCAUAUUAUAUUGUUAAUUUAAAUGAAAGGUACAUAUCUAUUUGUAUUUUUUUUAUUAUACUUGGUCUAUGGCAGAGCUAUUUUUAAGUCCCCUUAUAGGAAUGCCUGGGAUUAAUUUUUUCACAGUCCUGUCCUGCCAGGCACUAUAACUACUUCAAUCAGUUAAAGUAAAUGCCACGUCAUCUGAUUAUCCCUGCAAUGAAAACAUUGCCAUUUUGCAUGUUUUCAACUGUAGGUUUAAACCAGGGGGAACACGGCACCCAGACAGCGGUGGAACCACCUCCAGUGCAGACGGUGUGACUGCACCAAGGCUUGCAGGCGUUGGGGGCCCAUCAGUUAGCCUAUCCAUUUAGCACUACCCGAUAGAUGGCAAAUCUCAUCAGGGGCAGCUCUUUAGCCCCAUUAUUGCCGGCCCUUUAUUAUCAGGGAGAGAACUGCAGACAGCCUGGACAGUCUCAGACUCACCUGAGCCAGCCCAGGGAAGCCAUCCUUCUGCAUCCAAAAGGUAUGGAAGCAGGAGGUGGCUAAAACAUGUAAUUUUAAACUUAUGUGUGCAAGUGUGUGUGCAUGUGUAGGCAUAUCUUUGUAUCUGUGUGUGUUUAUGUGUGUACUUGUGUGCGUAGAUGUGUGGUUAUAUGUAUGUGUCUCUGUGUGUGUGUCAGUGUGUUUUUCAGUGUGGGUAUAUGUGUGUAUCUGUGUGUCAGUGUGUAUAUGUGUGUACCUGUGUCACUGUGUGUGUGGCACCCUAUGUGUAUAUGUGCAUACAUCCCAGCAUUGAAACACCAACACUACAAACACACCCCUACUUCAAAUGCCAACACUACAUGCAAACACACCUCUGCAAUUAAAUGCCAAAACUACAAACACGCUGUUGUAAUCAAACACCAACACUACAUACAAACACGCGUCAGUAUUAAGACACCAACCCUAAACUGCAUUCAAACAUACUACACACAGGGAUACCACUGCUUUCAAAUAGUAACUGAACAUAUAAACAUGCAACUGCAUUAAAAUGACAACACUACACACAAAUAGUCUCUUAUGUUUACACACACAUACUCCUUACAAAAAGAUGCUUACAUUCAAACACACAAAUACUGCUCACAGUAAAACCUGGCACGAAUGGGCAAAUGGUAGAUGUCAGCUGGCAAUCCAUAAUAAUGCAGUCUUGGGGAUCUAAACACAUUUGGUGUAGUAGUUUAUAAUGAUAAUUCCAGAGCCUGUUAUAAACAUUGUUUUCUCCUAAAAUACUUCUUACAUAUCUUCUCUCUCAAAAAACAUCUGAUAACGUUUUACCGAACCUGCUCAAUCCAGGGUAUUGAAUUGUUUUAAUUCAGAUAGUUUCUAAUAGUUCCCAUAAUUCAAGCCAGCCCAAGGGUCUCACAUAGCUAUGGGAGAUUAAGUUAAUCUGUGCACCAAAUAUUCUCUGAUGUGCCUGUGUCCCUUUAACGAUAAAUGGGCAAAUGACUCACUCCUGUUACCAGGUAAAACAGGUUUAUUUCAUGAUUCACCUGGAACUAUAAUUAUUGGCUUAGCUACAAGCAAUACUGUGUGUUUCCCCUAAACUCAAUGUGAUCACAAUGCAUUAGAGAUCAGCAGCUGGAGCACGGCUGUUGAGCACCAGUGAUGAAUGGAGGAAGUAUUAUUUUAUAGAGAGAUAGAUAAUAGAUAAAUUGUUUUCUAGCCAUGAGGUGGCAGAGGUUAAUAAUGUCUAAAAUUCCCAUCUGCCUGGAACAGUCUCAAAGAAACCGUAGAGGGAGAUAAACACUAUACCAGGACUUAUCCACUAACUUACAGACUGCUGGGAAUUGAAAACUGAAUUGCAGAUAACCUACUUCCAACUUUGCUAAAAGACAUGGAUAGAUGGAUGGAUUUAUGGAUGGAUGGAUGGAAAGAUAGAUGGAUGGAUAGAUAGAUAGAUAGAUAGAUAGAUAGAUAGAUAGAUAGAUAGAUAGAUAGAUGGAUAGAUGGAUGGAUAGAUAGAUACUGUAUAGAUAGAUAGACAGACAGACAGAUAGAUAGAUAGAUAGAUAGAUGGAUGGAUAGAUAGAUAGAUAGAUAGAUAGAUAGAUGGAUGGAUAGAUAGAUAGAUAGAUAGAUAGAUAGAUAGAUAGAUAGAUAGAAAGAUAGAUAUAUAGAUAGAUAGAUAGAUAGAUAGAUAGAUAGAUAGAUAGAUGGAUAGAUAGAUGGAUAGAUAGAUGGAUUUAUGGAUGGAUGGAUAGAUAGAUAGACUGAUAGAUAGAUAGACAUACAGAUAGAUAGAUAGAUAGAUAGAUAGAUAGAUAGAUAGAUAGAUAGAUAGAUAGAUAAAUGGAUAGAUAGAUAGAUAGAUAGAUAGAUGGAUAGACAGACGGACGGAUAUAUGGAUAGAUAGAUAAAUAGAUAGAUACAGAUGGAUAGAUAGAUAGAUAGAUAGAUGGAUAGAGGGGACAGUCACUUGAAACUAGCUUUAAAGCUCAUAGAAUAUUUCCAACACUUGACAUCAGAGACUACUCGUAAUUUAAUUUCAUUAUAUGUGUCUGCCACAAUGUCUAUGUACCCCUCCCUGAAGGUCAACGUUUAACUGUGGUCCUGUAAUGAGUGUCAGGGUGGUUGGGUCAUAUUCCCACAUGUUAUAGAGAACAGAAAGGUCUCUGCUGCAAGUCUCACAUGUAUACUUAUUAUCCUUCCCGUUCUCCACAAAGCCGAAUUAAGGUUACCCAGUGCCCUAGCCAUGGAGAGGGGAGAAGACUGUAACAAUUUAAGACAGGUACACACACACACACAAGCUUUUUUCUUUGUAUAUUGUUUCUACUUGAUGAAGCCUAUUGUGGCGAAACGCGUAUAGAAACUUUUUUUCAUUUUUUAUAAUCAAAGUGUCAUUAAAUAUCUGGCUAUUUUACACUGGUUUGCCACAUUCCUCUUUCCACUUUUAUAUUAUUUGCUAUUAUAUUUUAUGUAAGUUUAUUUUAUUCAGACCUAACUACCAUUGACCAUGACCACAUUGGACUACCAAAGAAUCCUUAAGGUGGGGAUUAUACCACCCAUAAGCUAUCCACCGAGCAGUACGUCUGCUCUAUAUACCGUGAGUAUAUUUUAUUUAAUUUUAUCGUCUUAUUCACUAUUCAGUGAGCACUAUAUUUUUUAUUAUUUUUAUCCCGAGUUGGACUCCAUCUGUUCACCAAAGGACCAAAAGAGGAGCACCACAUAUCCUUGAGUGGGGAUCAUUCCACUUCACGCUAUCCAUACCAGAGCUGGAUUUAAGCUCUGAAUAUUGUGAGUAGUUCCACAAAUAUUUACAAAAUAUCCAUAUUUUGUUUUUAUACUACACCAUUGGAGUUUUUCUCUCUAUUCUGCUCUUCUCGCAUAUCUCAUCCAGGACGUUACAUACCCUUUUGAUGGACUACUAGGACCACUAUUUGCACAUUUGGACAUUUUAUAUUUGGACUAUUAGGUACCGUGAUUAUUCCAUUCAUAUAGUAUAUUUGGACACUUUUUUGGACCAUUUGCUACUGCUGCUAUUCCCAUAUUAUUAUUUUAUCAUUUCCACUUGUUUUAGGUGCAUCCUUAUUUUCUCUCUUUUUCUCCAUUGUAUUUUAAGGGGUUCAGAGGGGAUUUCCCCUUUUUAAGGUGUGCUGCCUUGUUAUUAUACUCUCUGUCUCCUACCAGCGCUGAACCUUUUUCCUGAUCUUGAUUCCACACACACACUGCUACUUACAUUACAGCCCACACUGUUACACAGACACACUGCUACCUACACUGUCUACACUCACUACUACACACACGGCAACACACGCACACUGCUACCUACACUGUCUUCACCCACUACUACACACACUGCAACACACACACACACACACACACUGCUACUCACAUUACAGCCCACACUACUACACAGGCACACUGCUACUUACACUGUCUACACUCACUACUACACACACUGCAACACACGCACACUGCUACCUACACUGUCUACACUCAGUACUACACACACUGCAACACACACACACACACACUGCUACUCACAUUACAGCCCACACUAAAACACAGGCACACUGCUACCUACACUGUCUACACUCACUACUACACACACUGCAACACACGCACACUGCUACCUACACUGUCUACACUCACUACUACUCACACUGCAACACACACACACACUGCUACUCACAUUACAGCCCACACUAAAACACAGGCACACUGCUACCUACACUGUCUACACUCACUACUACACACACUGCUACUCACAUUACAGCCCACACUGCUACACAGGCACACUACUAACUACACUGUCUACACAAGUGAUAAACCGCAUCAAACAGAACUAAAAAAUCCCACGGGUACACUCAAUGUUAACCUUAACCCAAUUAUGUAUAUUAAAUAGAUGUAUAUAUAUGUACUCUCUUUGGAGUAAAUUAAUGUUGUAUUUCAGUACCAGAAAAACCUCAAAAUGAAACAGAAAUACAACAAAAAAAUUGUGCAAUAGGUCUUAAUGCUUUUACAGACAGUUAGAUAUAUAGGUAACUCACUCACACUUUUAUAAGCUACUGUACUUUUUUGUUUAGCGCUUUGACGGUGCAAUCCCCAUCUUGUGAUAUAUGUAGAUCCACAAUCUUAUGUGUCCGUAACGACUCCAGCAUGUAAAAUAAAGCAGAGAGGGUCUAAUAGUGCAAUAUGUUAAAACAAAGUAUCCUACUUACACUUUGGAGAGCAAUAACCUAGCUCUGGUGGUAUGAAACGUUGGUGGUAUAAUCACCACCCACAGAUGUGCAGGAACCAGGAUAGUUGUUCAGCAGAAAAAAAACAAAUUGGAUAUGAUAUUAAAGGGACACUAUAGUCACCAGAACAACUACAGUUUAUUGAAUUUGUUCUGGUAAGUAGAAUUAUUACCUUCAGACUUUUUGCUGUAAACACUGUCUUUUCAUUACAGCCUAGUGAUAACUUCACUGGCCACUCCUCAGAUGGCUGUUAGAGAUCCUUCCUGGAUCAUGGCUGCCUAAAAUGCAUCCAAACAUUUAGCGUCUGCUCCCUCUGCAUGCAGACACUGAAUGUUCCUCAUAGAGAUUCAUUGAUUCAAUUCAUCUCUAUGAGGAGAUGCUGAUUGGCCAGGGCUGUGUUUGAAUUGUGCUGGCUCUGUCCCUGAUCUGCCUCUUUGUCAGUCUCAGCCAUCCUACGGGGAAGCAUUGUGAUUGGAUCAGGCUACCACUUCUUCUGAUGUCAGAAUAGGGGCAGAGCCAGCAGCUGCAGACUUGCAAACAAGUCAGAUUUUACUAUAGUUAGGGAGGCAUGAGGGGCCCAGGGGGCUAGAUGGUGGGUCAGGAAUACAUGUUUGUGUUCCUGACCCUAAAGUGCUCCUUUAAAAACAAUUAAUUUUAUUUGUAUAUAUAGUGAUUAAAAGUAAUGUUACCAAUACAUAAAAUACAAUAAUAAAAUAUAUAGAUAUAAAGAACUUCUCUAAGGUCACACUUUACGCGUUUCUCCCAACGGGGCUUCCUUAGUGGAUGAUCCUCAGAAUGUCCGAGUUUAUAUAGGAAGUUAAUCUCCAAUUAGUAGAAUUAGGUGCGCUAAUUUACUUCCUGGUUCUUCGGGUCGCGUGCGUCGCCUGGAAAUUACGCGCUGCGACUCACUUGUAUCGUGGCAUUGUGGGAUGUGUAGUCUUUUGUCCUUUUGCGUCAGAGGAAAUGAAGUCCACGUUCUCAUCGGCCAUUUUGGUUGAGAGCAAGAUGGUAAGAGUUUAUAUGUUAAGAAUAGCAAAAAGGGAGGUCGAACUAAGUUUUUUCAUAUAGAUAUUGUACUUAUUAUAGUGCACAGCGAAAUUUGUAUAUAAAACAUGUUUUGUGAAGAAAAACAUUUAAAAUCAUAUAUUAGCUAAAAUACUUAAAUUAAGUGAAAGGAAUAUAUUUUUUAAAUAUGCAUCACAACAUGGACAGCUUCAUAGUAUUUGUAUGAAGGAACUAUUUUCACCCAUACAUGUACCAUAAUAAUUAAAGUGCAUAGCAGUAUUUACAUAUAGAAAGUUUUUUGUGAAGAAAACAUAUAUUUAAAAAUGUAUAUUAGCUAGAAUAUUUUAAUUCAGUGAGGUUAAAAUAUAAAGUGAACAACUCUAUGGAUCAUAUAUUCAUUGAAUUACAUGAGGAAACAGGUAUAGUUCAAUUCUAGAGAGGGUUGACACAUGAUUAAAAAUAUUUAGCUAGGAAAAAUAUUGAGAAUACCACCAUUUAUAAAAAAAAAAUUAAAAGCUUAUAAUGAGGGUGAAAAAUGCUUUUAGGUAAGAAUAGACACUAUAAAAAGUAUACUAUGAAAAUGGACAAUAUAAAAAAUUAAAAAGGUCAAAAACCACGUUGAGGCCAUUAGGGUGUAGUGUCUAAAUUUACACCCACUCCAUCUCUGUUUUUCCGAAUUUUUUAACCAUGUCUCUGCCUCUCCAGUGUUUAGUAAGGAUUGAAAUGCCCAUGAAAUUUGAUUUUUUGGGGGUCAUUAUUAUGUACACUGAAAUGUGAAGAGACAAUGUGGUUUUUAAAACCUUUCUCUAUGUUGCGGCAAUGCCUGCUUAUUCUGAUUUUGAAGGGUCUAAUUGUCCUCCCUACAUACUGGAGGCCACAAGAGCACUCCAACAGGUAUAUAACAUUCUUGCUGUUACAGGUAAUGUUGUAUAUUUUGUUGGUCUUAUUUGAUUUAAAAGUGGUUAUAUGUUUGUCUGUUUUUUUAUGUCUUUGUGCAUGCAACGCAACAAUUGCACUUAAAAAAAACCUUGGUUGUUUUUUUCAAAAUUGGUUAUGGUGCUAGAAUCACUUUUUUGUGUAUAAUUUCUUGUACGGUGCAUUUUUAAACUAGGAGCCCCUCUAAAAAAUAUUCUUGGAUUAUCUGGAAUCACAUUUUUUAAUAGUUCAUCUUCCUGUAACAGAUGCCAAGUUUUUUUUUUUUAAAUAAUCUUUUUAAUCUGUUUUAUUUUUAUUAUCAUAGUUCAAUAUUAUGGGUAAGGUAAAAUCUUUUUUAUUUUUGAUGUUAUGGUCAAACCCCUCCAUUUUUAUCAGGAUAUUUCUAUUGGUUUGUUUUGUUGUAUCUAUAAUUUUAUCUUUUAAUUUGGAAUUGUAACCUUUUUAAAUAAAUGUACUUUUCAUCUCGAUGGCUUGAGUACUGAAUGUGUCAAUUUCUGAGCAAUUUCUCUUUAGUCUUAGCAGUUGGAUUUUUGGUAUGCUAAACAGUCAACUUUUAUAGUGACAACUGUUUGUUUCUAUGAAAUUAUCAACAUGAACUUUUUAAAAGUGCGUUUUUGUAUGGAUUUUAUUCUCCUUAAUAAAAUAUCUAGAUCUAAAAAAGUAACAUUCAUGGUGCUAAAAUCUGCAGUUAGUUUAAUCCCAUCUUUGUUAUUAUUUAAAAAUUUAAUAAAAUCUUGUGCUGAAGGAAUGGUACCAUCCCAAACGAAAAAGAGACUAUAUAUAUAUAUAUAUAUAUAUCUAUAGUAGGCAACCAGGCUUCCCACCCAGCCAUGUCCCCUCCACCCAGAUCUUUCCUCCCACUCAAUAAUGAAGAGGUUGACAUAGCAAGGUACAAACCUGGUCCCCAUAGUCGUACCAUUUCGUUGAAUGUAAAAAGCAUAAUUAAACCAAAAAUAGUUGUUAGUUAAAAUCAUUUUGAUCCCUUCAAUUAUGAAACUUAUUUGACUCAAUGUCACAAGUUAUAAGGGCAUAUCCUUCCUUCCAGUUAAUAUUUUCUAAUUUGGCACAGUAUAUCACUUGUUUUGUCACAUUUCUGUAUCUUAUGCCAGGUUUUGGAAUCAUUAUAGAUUUACUGCCUGUUCAUAUUAUAGCGAGCGCCUACAGCUGCCUUUUUUUCUGCACAUUACAACCCAAACUGCUACACUGCUACCUACACUAUCUGUACUCACUACUACACAAACUGUUGUGCACACACAUCGCUAACUACACUGUCUACGCUCACUAUGACACACACUGUGGCUCAUACACUGUCUACACUCACUACUACACACACUGCUACUUACACUGUCUACACUCAUUACGACACACACUGCUGCCUACACUCUACACUCACUAUGACACAUACUGCUGCACACACACACUACUACCUACACUGUCUACACUCACUACCACACACACUGCUACACAGGCACACUGCUACCUACAAUGUCUACACGCAUUACGACACACACUGCUACACACGCACACUGCUACCUACACUGUCUACACUUACUACGACACACACUGCUGCACAGCCUGCUGCUAAUCAGCCAAGAUGGAAAAUAAGAAGGGAAUAAGAAGGGAAUUAAUGGAUUUACCACAUCGAUAAUAUAUACAAUACAUUAAGUGCUUAGUCUAUUAAUUAUGACAAUUUUGUACUAAAAUAGACUGUGUCUGUCAUAGGGGCCAAUCACAAUAGAGCUUUCCUGAUUAUUCCUGAUUAUUUUAUACCGAUAUAAUUAAAUAGUGUAUAAAGAUAAGAGUACAGCAAAUAACUAAACUAUAUGGGGAUAGAUCCCGAUUACAGUCUAUUUCAUUACAUUCUUAGAUUUCUCAUAAUUAAUAGACAAAGCAUUUAAUAUACACAGAAACACAGACAUGCACUCAGACAUUUACACACAGUGCUACACAUGCACACACACUAACACACACACACACACACACACACCAAGCGAGCACCCAAACAAAGUUCAAAGUUUAAAGACGACUAUUCACUUGCAGAGUUAUCCAUUAAAGUGGGAAUUGUUAGUAAUUUAAAGCUAAUUUGAAGUUUUAGGUGAAAAUGAAAAAAAUUAUCCAAGUCAGUUUUCAGUUUGGCUUUAUUUGCAUAACAUUUUGAAAAGUGAGUUCCCAACAAUUCAUACUUCAGUGAAUAACUUUGUAACGUGCAUAUUGCAAGGAAUUCAAAGGGAAUUCCAAAUUCGAGGCCAAAAUAGACAAGUUAGUGUAACCAUUUUUUGCCCUGCUCCUGGCAACAAGCCGUAGCUAGCAGCAGUUUCACCUUCUUCUGUCGCUGACAGGGAUCCUGAGCCUCUGCUAUAGUUGGGAGAUCGGGACAUCUUGUUCUGACGCAGUGCCUCCACUCAGUGCAACUUCUAUUUAUGGGGAACCCACCCCACUGAGUAGAUGAGUACCCUCCACUUAAUAACUCAGAGACAUGAAAUAACUACAGACAUGGAAAUACACACUGUAUUCUGGUUAAAGAGAUACACAUAUAACAGCAGAAAUAACAAUGCAGUUUCUGGCUAAUGUUAAAUGAUGAUAAAGUCCCUGAUACCGUCACAAGAGUCUUUAGCAGCAGGAAUGCAGACAACAAACUUCUCUUAAUAACACCAAUAACUACAUCUGAACAGUUAAACUCCUAGGUACCUGCAGGUAAAUUAUGUGCACAAUGUUGGGGCCCUCAGGUGUAGGUAGCACUACCCAGGUACAGUUAUAAGGGAGAAUCCUGAAGCAAUCUCUGUAGACAGUACCUUUGACUGACUUCUGUGACUGCAGAUAUUUCCAGACAGAUCCAUCAGAAUGUAGGACAGCAGCAGAAUAGCAAUGGCAAUUGUAACGGACCGUUUUGCACACAAGAGGUUAAAAACCGUUUAGGCGAUAUUCCACUUUCAGAUGCACAGGCAGCUACUGCAAUCACCAAUCUCCCGAACUUCAAACACACAAAUUUUACAACUCCCGAACUGGAACCAUACGAAUUCUCAACUCCCGAACAGGAAACACAUGAAUGCUGUUAAACAGCCGAAUAGGAAAAACCAUAUGAACAGCUUACACUCCUGGCAGCAUACAAUCCAAUUCCCCCCAAGAACGAAACAACACUUUGUUUGAGGAUUAAGCAGAACUCAUUUACUGGGGCUACCUGCCCGGCUUUUAUGCAGGUCUCCCACCUGGUGGACACUCCCCUAGGGGACCAGAUGGAAGACUGGGAAACAUAUUGGACAUUGACCAAUCACAAGCUUACAAUCCCAUAAUGCAUCACAAUCCCUCGUCUCUGUCCUGGAGAUUAUUGGGAAGUAAUCCAAUUAUCUCCAAGGACAGAGGCAAAACUCCAUUAACCACAUGUUAGUAAAAAGACAUUAAAAUAUCCAAUGUUUCACAUAAUACACAAAACAUAUACAUUCUACUUAUCCCCAGAUAGCUUAGAUCUGAGUGCACAUCACUACCCAAUGGCGCUCAGAUCACAUAAAUACAGUUCAAUUGCCAUGGAGCCAAAGUCUUUCCCAUAGUCUUUUGUUACACGAAUAGGCUCCAUGGCAUGGCUAUCUGGGGUGAUGCUGUUCAGACGGUUAAACUACCGAAUGAACAGGCAUUUGGUUACACUACCGAAUUCAGAGGUUAGGAGGCUGGCGGCUCAACGGUGUUCGCGCAAAUAAGUGUCAGUUUCCAGUUCCAUAGUUUGGGCGUUGAACACCGCUGGCCGUUCGGGAGUUAAAAUGGCUGCUGCCACGUGUUCGGCAAACAAACAGAGGCCACCCAGCGUUCGUCAAUUAAGCUGUGGUUAACCGCAGCUUCUGGGCGGUCAAUUGAUGGCACACUCCCGUUCCCAGGUGGUCGAUCGUUCGGUACUUUGUUCGGUAGAUUGAAUCUACCGAACACCCCGGCAGAAAGGCACGAAUAAGCCUUUCUGCAGGGAAAAUAAAAGGUUUUAAAUGCCGGGCCAUAGUCUAAAGGGAGCAGGUGAGCAACCAGGCUCCUCCAGUGGACAGUGGUGAGGCUGGUUCCGCCUUUCUCUUCCUUCUGCUGAGAGGAUGCUCAUUCACACUCCUGCAAACAGUUCCAGAAUCUGCAGGGAGCUGAACAUUAAAUAACAGUCUUCUAAUUCUCCAAGCAGAGCAGCAGACAGUCUCCAACUUCUUGUAGUAGCAGUGCAUUAGCCUUCCCCUGUUAUUAUUUCACUGUCCCAGCAGUAAUAGACCAUUGAAACAGGGAGGAACACACUUUCUUUAAAGGAACACUAUAGUCUCCUAAAUUACUUUAGCUAAAUAAAGCAGUUUUAGUGUAUAGAUCAUUCCCCUGCAAUUUCACUGCUCAAUUCACUGUCAUUUAGGAGUUGAAUCACUUUGUUUCUGUUUAUGCAGCCCUAGCCACACCUCCCCUGGCUAUGAUUGACAGAGCCUGCAUGAAAAAAAAAAAACUGGUUUCAUUUUCAAACAGAUGUAAUUUACCUGAAAUAAUUGUAUCUCAAUCUCUAAAUUGAACUUUAAUCACAUACAGGAGGCUCUUGCAGGGUCUAGCAAGCUAUUAACAUAGCAGGGGAUAAGAAAAUCUUAAUUAAACAGAACUUGCAAUAAAGAAAGCCUAAAUAGAGCUCUCUUUACAGGAAGUGUUUAUGGAAGGCUGUGCAAGUCACAUGCAGGGAGGUGUGACUAGGGUUCAUAAACAAAGGGAUUUAACUCCUAAAUGGCAGAGGAUUGAGCAGUGAGGCUGCAGGGGCAUGUUCUAUACACAAAAACUGCUUCAUUAAGCUAAAGUUGUUCAGUUGACUAUAGUGUCCCUUUAUGCAGACUCAGAGAACAUAGCUUCUCCCCUGUCCUCUUCUUCCUGCCAUCCUAGCCCUUCCUCCUCACAUGACAGGGCAAAGGGCAAAGUUCAAUAUCUCAAAACAUGAAGUAAAAACAGCAAAAUAUAGCACUCUGUUACAUCAGCAUACUCCAAGCCAGAUAUAUUUACAAGAUUACUAUACGGGCAUAAAAUCGGAAACUGCAUUUGAAUUCCUGGUAAUUCAAGUGACUAACCCAGCAGGAUCAUGGCUAGGUUCCAGAAACACCCGUGCUUUUAGCCCCCCACCCCACAAUCCUUCUGCUCUCACCACUACCUGUAGAACUUCAGGGCUAAGGGGUCCAACAUCUUGGGCUUCAGCUCCCAAACACGACCUUGUAACCCAGGCAGAGUCUAUAAAAACAUCCGACUUUGAUAAAAAAUAAUGGGGGUUUUGCUAUGAGAUAUCAUAUAUUAACAUAUAUCUAAUUUGUAGCCCCAUGUAGCUAGUGCGCAGCUAAGCGGAAAAAGGCCUUGACAGGGGUUAGGAGGCGGGCUUAAGAGGAAGUAAGCAAGGGAGUGGAGUUAUGGGUAAGUAGGUUUGGUUAUUUAAAUGGGCAGCCAUUUUAGGUAAUUCAUUCUAAUUUCCUACCUGGUUAAGUCUGUCCCACUCACCCUCCCUGUUUUGUUACGUGUGGGGUUGUCCCGUUUUUUCACAGCGGCGGGAUGGGGAGCUGAAGGAAAGGAAAUAGGCUCCCCAGGGUGAGCGUAAUGGAAAACAAACAAGUGGUGGUCAUCGGUGGUUGAUAGGUUUCGAGUCCUGUCGGUGGCUCAGAACCUGGUGGGGUAGGGGUAUCCGGGUAUACCCCUGCCGUGGUUAAUGGAUGGUUGGCACUUUACAUCGGUAUUGGAAUAAUGUUGAUGUAUGUUAUAUAUAUAUGUUUAUUUAUAUGGGGGUCAUUGCCCUUUAUAUGUUAACGGAAGGAAUAGGAUGCGAGGGCGGAGUAUGGGGGGCAAUGACCCAUGUUUUACUUGUUAAGUUAUUAUUAUUAUUAUCAUUGUUAUUAUUAUUGUUUGUUUAAUAAAGCUGUGGACAAAAUUUCCCAUAUCCCUAGUGUCCGUGCGUUAUUGGGUUAGGAUAUGGGGUGAUUGUCCUGGAUUCCGACUGCCCAAAUGGCGACUAUACACCUGUCAAGACUUUGAAGCUAGUUUAUUUUUCUCCUCUUCUCACAUGUCACCUAUUCCCCAUUAUUGAAUAACUCAGAAAGAUGUAUCAGCCAGGAAGAGAUACUUAUAAAAACCACAAAGUUUGCUGCAAAAUUUAUGCAACAAUAACUUUAAAUGGCCUCAUACCGCAUAGAGAAAUAAUAUCAGGUUUUGAAAAAUAAAUGUGUUAUGCCAAAAGCAAAAAAAGACCACAACAUAACAAAGCUGUUUUAUAUGUCUCCUAGUUGAUGGAAUAACAUAAUGUCAAGAAAGUGUCUGAGAGCCAAGACAUUAGGGAGAAGAAAGUUCGUGCUGGUAUUGGGUGUAUCAUAGCGCUGUGACAAAUAAGGUCUCUUUUUAAAACUUUCGUAGAAGUGUUGUUUCAGCUCACAGCGAUAUAUUAGGAAGCAGAUGUUGUAGACAGCUGUUAGUCACCUAAAGAGUUGAAAAUAAAUUACUGCAGAGGCACCAGAGGCAGAUGUACCAAAAGUAUCCCAGAUUUUGUUAGUGAUAAUGUGAGCUACCUGGAGCAUGCCAUCUAAUUAUUAUACAGUGAGCAUUUAAACAAACCGAAUCCAGAAAAAGGUUUCAAAUACAUUUUUAGAAUAUUGAAACAAAGUCACAGUAUCACAUAAAUCUUUUUUUGUUUUAACGUCUUAAGCAAGUGAAUAAACACUUUCUGCUUUAAAAAUGCCCAUUAUUGUUACUUUAUUAUUUUAUUAUUUAUAUAGGGCCAGCAAAUUCCGUAGCGCUGUACAAUGGGUGCCAUAACCCUUUAUUAAAUGUGUAUUUUCAACAACAUAGCAUAAGUACUGUUGGCUAGUGGAUUCCCUAUCUCUACUGUACUUACUGCUAUUAAAUAUAUUAAAAAAAAUUAAAUUCACAUGGGAUUGUAUAAGCUUUAUUUACUAAGCAAUAUGUGUUACAGAGUUAUUUAGUAAACUGAUUUUUUGUGAAUUAAAUCUGAAUGGCACAACUGAAGCAAAAGCUGUGACUGGCUGUGUUGGAGAUUUUUAUUUUUUUUACAUUUGCCUUAGUUUAUCCAUUUGGGUUUAAUUUGUGAAAAUGUGAAUUUUACUAAAUAACCAUGUUAAUGUUGACUUGAGAAAUGACUUACAAAAUGUAAAUUAAAGGACCACUAUAGGCACCCAGACCACUUCAGCUUAAUGAAGUGGUCUGGGUGCCAGGUCCACCAAGGAUUAACCCUUUCUGCUGUAAACAUAGCAGUUUCAGAGAAACUGCUAUGUGCACUUUAGGGUUAAUCCGGCCUCUAGUUACUGUCUCAUUGACAGCCGCUAGAGGCGCUUCCGCGCUUCUCACUGUGAUUUUCACAGUGAGAAGACGCCAGCGUCCAUAGGAAACCAUUGAGAAUGCUUUCCUAUGAGACUGGCUGAAUGCUCUUGCCGCGCAUGCGCAUUCAGCCGAUGACAGGAAAGGAGGAGGAGAGUCUCCAACACCGAGGGAGCCCGGCGCAAGAGAAAGGUAAGUGUUUAACCCCUUCCUCUCCAUCCAGUCCUGGCACUAUAGUGGUCCUUUAAAUUAACAGAAUUUGAAAAAUACUUCUUGCCCUGUAAAAAUGAACAUGUCUCGUUUCAACCACCCUAUGAUCAACAAAGGUAUCAUGUUUUGUAAAGAGAUAAAUUAUGCAUUUAACCCCAGAAAGACACCACUUCAGAAAUAAAAUGCCAUUAUAACGGAAAAUGUCCUUCAUGUAUCCUUAAGGGAUUCAUUGAAAAUGCUGAUAUAACUACCUUGUAUCUAGUUUUACCAUCAUACCAAUUAUGUGGAUAUUUCACUAAUCUAGAAUCCAAUCCUGGCUCAUGUAUAGCUUCCCCUCCCUACUACAGGACUUGGGAACACGACCUCUAGCAGAGUGAUCUCAUGACGCAAACUUGAUGCCUACAGUACCAGUGUCUGUAGAGUCUGUAGAGGACUAUGCCAUCAACAUAGAUCAUUAUGUCAACAACUGAUUGAGAGGUGGGGACGAACCACAUUUUUAAAAAGGAUUACCUUAAGAUCUAUACAUUCGAUAGAAUUUUUGCAGUUGCUCUUCCCAAGACAUUUAAAAUGUGGAUGAUUUUUUAACUUGAUUAUUUCACCAGAACAUUUGCACGUUCUAAACUCACUGGAGCUAUUAUGUGAACUGGCCUUUUUAUCAGCUGCUAAUAAACAAGUCCGUUGAGAGUUUGAAAAUAGUUAUAUAUAACCAUCACUGUCUCUGUAAUCAGAGAUGUGUUUUUCCUCUAAAUUAAAUGCCAAUCUGCCCGUGUUUAGAUUACUUUAGAUUAGUCCAUGACAUUAAAGCUAAUUAGCAUUCUCUUUAUUUUACGUGACGUUCGUCACUGCUGAUAAUUUAUUUCUGGUUUACCAGCGCAAUCAACCAAUAUAAUUUCAGAAUAUAUAUGUCUACUAUGUACUAAGGUGUAGAGAAAAUAUCCCUUAUGUCUCAUGUCUUCAGCUGAACAUAAAGAGUAAAAUAUGGAUGUUCCACCACCCACGAGAUUACAUUGAACAUAGCGAUUGUAAAACGCGUCACACUGGUGUGAAAUUCCUGUAAUUUAUCGAAGUUUAAUAGAUAAUUCCUAUUGAGAAUAAACUGGGAAUUCAGAGAGAAUUUCAAAUUUAAGGCUGAACUGGGAUAAAUCUCUAACUCGGCUACGCUUUCAGUUUAGCUACUCAGGUCUUACAUGCUAAAUUCUCUUUGAACUAAAUUAAAGAUUUCAUGUUAGUUAAUAACCCUGAUAAAAAAAAAAUCCCACUCUUAAAGUGACCAUGUCAUGUCAAACUUACCUUUCCGCCAAUUGAUGCUUAUUUCCUUCCUGUCUGUUCUUAAAAUACUUUAGGCAAAGUAGGGACUACACUUCCUACACAUGUGUGUACAGAACAUUUAGGGUUCUUGCUGAUUGACCUAUAAAACAAAUAAUAACAUGGUGCAAUAUUGUCUAAUAAUAACAUAACGCAUGUUAUCAGUUGCACUCACAGGUAAACUUGAUUUAAACGCCUUAAGGGUGCCACCCUUAAUUGUAGUAGGGGGUUGAGUUCUUCCCUCGCACUCCUCUGCGGACUGGCCCUUUUUGUACCAAAAACGAUUAACCAGAGAAUUCUUAAAGAAAAGGGAUAUUUUUUUAUUAAAAAAAAUUAUUAUUAACAAUUAUUAAAAAGAUAUGGUCGUCCUACACGUUUCGUUCUCCUUGAGAACUUCCUCAGGGACCCAUAUAAUGCAUAAAACAAAUAACGUGUGUAGUGUCUGAGUAUGUGUGUAGUGUCUGAGUGUGUGUGUAGUGGCUGAGUGUUGCAUGUGAAGUGUCUGAGUAUGUGUGUAAUGUUUGAGUGUGUGUGUAGUGUUUGAGUUUGUGUGUAGUGUCUGAGUGUGUGUAGUGUCUGAGUGGGUGCAGUGUCUGAGUGUUUCCUGUGUAGUGUCUGAGUGUGUGUGCAGUGUCUGAGUGUGUGUGUAGUGUCUGAGUGCUGCAUAUGUAUUGCCUGAGUGUGUGUUUGCACCCCUCCUGCUAACUUUUCCCUGAAGGGCCACUAGAGAGCAUUUUUUACCUGGUGAUCUAGUGGAGGAGCAUUGGGGUUUGCACCAGUAUCAGGUGUAGAUUACUUUAUGAGCUCCCUCUUGGUCCAGUGCUCUGUCAAUGAUUUAGAGCUCCAGCUGGGACACUCUGUGUCAUCAAGAAAUACUGUGGGACCAGGACGGAGCUUUGGGGGUUAUUCCAAAUUAAUUCUUCAAAUGACAUAUAGCAUAAUUAGUUUCACAUCAGGUAUAAUAAAGCCUUUUAUUGAUAUAUUUAAACAUGAUUUAUGAGGUUUUUUCACUAAAUUGUGAACAUUUGGACAUUUAUAAAAUUUCUAUCAAUAUAUUGGCAACAUUCUUCAGGACAGCCAUUAGCCACCACAACUGGAUAUUCUAUCUUUAUGAGUCUUUAUAAAUCAGAGUCCCUUUAAAUUUACAAUUCCCUGAUAUAGUCCUGACAAAGUUUGUUUCAGUGCCAUGGUUGCCAGCCUUGUCUUUAACGCAUGCCAACAAUGCAGGAUUUAGACAUUUCCCGGUUCUGUUCCAGUGGGAAUAUUGAUAAAUUCAGCAGCAUUGGCAUGUAUUGAGGAAUGGACUGAGGCACAAUUGCAUUAGAAUUACUCCCUGUUGGUCUCCAUAGUGUGUAUUUCCUAGAAACCAUUAUUUUCUUGCCAUAACUCACCAUACGUAACAUGGUUUAUUAGCUAUAGAUUAAAAAUAAACGAGACACUGUAUCUAGAUAAAGAAAUCUUUCUCAGCUUCUAAUAGAAGGCGUUCAUUAAACAUCCUUCUUAAUUACUCUGUGACAUAAAACUGGAAUAGCUCCAAACAAAAACGUUUAACUUCAGGAAAUCAUUGUCUGCUAACGUUCAAUUGCAAUUUAGAUUUAAGUGCGUCGAUAGUAAUAAUUAUUAUGUAGGAAUACUUUACGUAUGUUAAUAGAAAAACUCAAAUGUCAAGAUAACAGAAUGAACGUAACUAUUGAUACACUGUUAAGUAUCCUACUGGGAUAAGACAGGGAAAACUCUAAAUGGGACAGCCUAAGCAUCUUAACACAUUCAGCCCGAUGUAGUGCUUAUGGUGCCAGGAAUCUCCUGACGCCGUCGCAUGGCAAGUAGUCAAACUCUCAACCUGUGGCGAAACCAACCUCGCCACGUGUCCUUGGAGGGGGCUGCUUGCCCGCCUCUUGCCUUUGGACUAUGGCCCUGCAGGUUAAACUGUUUAUUUUCCCUGCAGAAAGGCUUAUUUGUGUGAUCUGAGUGCCAUUCAUCUAAUAAUGUGCAGUCAGAUCCAAGCUAUCUGGGGAUAUGUAGAAAUGUGUGUUUUAUGUACUAAAUGUGUCAGUAUGUAAUUUUAUGUCUUUUACUGUCUUUUGUCUGCCAUGUGGGUAAUGGAGUUUGGCUCUGUCUUUGGAGAUAAUUAGAUUCCUUCUCCAAUUAUCUCCAGGGCAGAAGGGAGGAAGCCAGGAUGCAUUGUGGGGAUGUUUUACUUUUACUGUUUGAGCCAGGGGGAACAAAAGAUACUUUUACUAACUUCUGAACCGCUGGUCUGAUUCAUGCCAUUUUUGAAUAUGUUGUUCCCCUGAAUGGAUUGAUUGUGAAUAUGUAUUUUUAUGCGAAUGUGAUGUAUAUUUUGGGAGUUAUGAAUGUUGUGUAAAAACUGUAUUUUCCCUACCUAUGAUAAUUGUAUUUCCCUGUGUGUACAGAUAAUUAGUUUACAGGUAGAGGGGAGGGCUAUGUGUGAGAUGUAACUAUUGUGUGAUUGGUUAAUGUACGUUACUGUGUGUGUCCCUCCCCUUCAUGGGAGCACCUAAUAAAAAGGGCUGCAAGCUAGCAGCCAGAGAGUUCUAUUUUUACCCUCAACUUGAGUCCUGUCUCUUAUUGGGGGAAUCUGCUACAAGGGAUUGCUAUGCUAGGCAUAUUCCCUUGCUAUAAUCACUGAGCUCUUGUAAGAGCUUGUUCCUGCUUCGUUCUGAAGGGAGAUAGCUGCAGCCUGCGGUGCUUAUGGUGUCUGGUGGAGUGCUUGGAGUCCUCUGGAAGCGCUAGGAGCAUCUUUCAACGGAGGUACCCAGUCGGGGUGCCAGGUGAUCCGUUACACAACCAAUGAAUGAUCUCCAAAGAUUUAAAACUUGUUACUGCAAAAUUGGAAUGGGAGCUUCUACUUUUACUGAUUUUCAGAAUACUGGAAUGACCACGGACCUAAAGGUCUUUCGGUGCCUAGGUUGUAUUUUUAACAGCAUGGCACUACGGAGACAGUCCCUUAAAUAUAUUUAUACUUUACUUUGUAUUACAGCAUCCAAAUAAGUGAAGAUUUAAACUUCCGACCCACAAGUUUCCUUCCUUCUAUUUUGUUUAUGAGUUUAUAAAAACUAUAUUUUUAGUUAUUCCUAAGAGGAAAUAACUCUCUUUUCUACUGUAUUGUAUUUAUUUUAAAGAAACACUCCGGGCACUAUAACAACUUCAUUGAGCCAUCGCAACUUCAUAGUUAUGAAAUGCAAUGAUUUUUUUCUGUCCUUUCACACAGUACAAUCCUUCCAUUUCACUUCGUAGAUGUGAAGGACUUGCAAUCAGCUUCAUUGUAACAGCAAUGACAAGUUAUUGCAAUGCCACGUCUAAAUGGAGAUUGACAGUCGGGCUGAAUCCUUGAUAAAGGAGCCAUAAUUACCUGAUUAUUUUUAUUCAUCAGUGUGAAAUUUCUCUGGUGUGUAUGUAAUUUCAGGUAAAUUGGUAGUGACAAAUUAAAGGGGUCGGGUAUCUGGGUAGCAGAAGUCCAAUUAUACGAUGGAAUUUAGACCAGCUCCUCAGCCUAUCCUUUCAGGCACAGUGUGGGUACGGUACACUAAUCUCAGCAAGUAAGAUAAACAGUCUAACUUCAAAACCUAUCACUUUCACGCUCUCCCACUUGAGUCUUCAUGCUACUUUUAAACUUGUGAUUUGAAGUAUAUUUAAUUAAUAAAACGAAAAAAUAUAUUUAUGUAGAAUUACAAUUUCUAAUGUAAGCUAAGUAUAAAUUGAUUUUGCUUAGUUGCAACAGAUCCUAAUAUUGUAUUGUGCUUAAAGUAGACCUGCCAUGUUCCCACUGUUUACACAUACACAUUGUUUAAAUAAAAAAUGCACGUCUUACCAGUUUCAAUUAUCACAUGGUUACUAAAGCCAAGAGUUCCGGGCUGGAUAAUAUCAAUUCUGUGCAAAAUUGGUGACUGAAACCAGCGCGCACAGCAUGCUGGUGCCAGACUGAAAAUAGCCCCAAAGCCCUUCUCUGUGCCACUCUGUCCUCUCCUCAAUCUGCCCAAGUUAACCUGCCUCCACCUCUUAUGAGGGGAGUGAUGUCAUCUAGCGAGGAUCGGGAUGAGUGUAGGACUUGACCUUGGCAAUGAAAGAUAGGUAAAUUUCAGUUUUUUCUUUACUUUAUUUUUUGGUGUUUGGUGAUGGGAAGGACCAACAGAAAGGGUUACUCUAAUCAGCACCAGUGUUUUAAGAAAGCACUGGUAACCAUUUACUUUUUUUUAAUGUAGCCUACAACUUUUAGAUCUACCCGAGGCUCCAUAAUGCACAUAGGACGAGCCCCUACUACAAUAAGAAAAAUGUACCCUUUAUUUUAUCCUUUUUUUUUGCUACAAUAAAAGCUGAAUUAGUGUACUCUCUACAACCAGGAUUAGGAAGAAAAAAAUAAUUAUUAAAGAGGCCAUGGAAGAAAAGCCACCUACAAAUAAAUGUGGAACCUCCUGGAAGAACAGACUCAAAAUUGUAUUGUUUUGAAAAGUCAGUAAAAGAUGAAUAUUCAAUAAAGAAGAUAUACAAAUAUAUAUAUAGCCCACAUUGAUAGGCAAGAGGAGGGAAAUGUAGGUAAAAAUGAUAAUAGCAGCAAGCACUUUCUCAAUAACAAUCAAGUUUACAAAGUGGAAGAGCUGUGUGUAAUGCAAGAUCAAAACCUAAUAUAAAGCAGUCAUCCAUCUCAGGAGCUGUAGGCAAUUCCAUAGAUCAAAGUCUUUUAUUGCUAAAUUGAACUCACAUUAUAUCCAGUUUUCAAUAUCUGUAAGAUCAUAAUAACACUGUCUUUUGGGGGGCGACCAAUAAAAAAAGGAAAAAAUAAAUAAAGGAAAUAUUUAAUUUAUUAUUUUCCCUUCAAACAUAAACUAGAACUAGUGCUGAACUCAAGAAAGACAAAUUGUAAAAAAAUAAAAAUAAGAAUAGAUUUUAUCAAAGCAACUUGUACAUUAAUUAGGUCAUUUGCCCUGAAUUACUAGAAAAUAUCUCAUAAGCAUCAAAACCUUAAAAUAUUCUUCAUCUAUGUUUUACAUUUCAUCUAAGGCAAAGAAUCGUUUUUUCUUUUACAGUAAGAGCAAUAAGGAUAUGGAAUUCUCUGCCUGAAGAGGUGGUUUUAUCAGAGUCCAUACAGAUGUUUAAACAGAAAUUGGAUAAAUACUUGAAAAAACAUAACAUACAGGGAUAUAAUUUCUAAUUAGUGGGGUAGUAGCUGCUUGAUCCAAGGAGACAUCUGACUGCUAUUUUGAGGUCAAGAAGGAAUUUUUUCCUAGUUUGUGGCAAAAGUGCAAGAGCUUCAGACUGAUUUUUUUUUUGCCUUCUUUUGGAUCAACAGCAAAAACAUAUGUGAGGAAGGCUGAACUUGGUGGACGCAAGUCUCUAUUCAGCUAUGUAACUAUGUAACUCUGUAAUAUAUGCUCUGUUGAUUAAUAUCCAAAUCUUCAAAGUCCUCUCAAAAAUAAAGCUCUAAUAGUGUCUAAAUGUAACCUAAAAAUACAAUUUGUUUUUGUCUCUUUUUCAGUCACCGGAGCUAUCCUCUUUGUGCACAAUGAAGUCUCACCUAUGGUCUGUAGUGUUGCUGUGCUUAUUUGCACACGUGUUGUGUGACUGCCAGAAUGACUGUAUGACAUGCAAAAAACACUUGUAUCAACGUGACAACUUCAACACGCUGGUAAGCA